AGCACCAAGUCCUCAUGAACUAGUUGACCUGCUAUGAUGAAUUUGCAGCAACUAACUUAGGAGAGAACCCGACACACAAGCUCAACCUGCCAAUAGAAAAAUAAUCCAAAUAAAAUAUGUGAAAUAAAGAAACUGGACAAGAAAAGAUAACAAACAAUAUGUUGACUUUUGUUUCACACUACAUCAUGAAUCACAUUAGACGGCAAAGGCAAGAAAACAAUUUCUUUCUAAAGUGUCAUUCAUGAUCCCGUCCCUGCAACUUCAAGCAGCAGCAGCAAUUAGAUUUCCUUUACAAGAUCCAAAAUUGCAACAGCAAAACCAAGGCAAAAUCAGUUUCUUGCCCUGAAUUUUAAAGUUAUGUUGCUAAAACAAAAUGUAAAAGUUCAGGGGCUUCAUAAAACUGAAAAAACUAAGGGUCUAGUGAAUUAGCAAAUCAAAAACCUCAAGAGCCAAAAAUGAAAUGCAUAUGACAAAAAUUACCAUCUUCGGGUUUCUUCAAUGUGCUUAGCUGUGUCUUUACUGCCAUCCGUUUGACAGACUCAGCUGUAAUUUGAUUCAACAUUUCAGAGGAAAAUAAAAUUAGAGACGACAUAUAGUGCAGAGAGUGCUACACUAAUAUAUAACACGAAAAUACCAAGACACCAGCAUGCAAUUGAUGUGAAAGGAUGCUCCUCCUUAUGGCUAGUUUACACAGCAAGAAUCUGACCAUCAAGAUAUAAAAGUACAGAAGAAUAACAAAACAAUACUCCUUUAUCCACAGCUUGAAAUAGCAUUAAUCACACGAAAGAAAACUCUGCCUUAUUGUUUUUUGUACAGAUGGAGAACAAACAGUAUAAUAACACUCAAAUCAAUAUUUCACCUUUAAGGCGUCUUUUUUUCUUUGCCCUUCUCCUCUUUCUAUCUGCCUUUGUUAGCCCAGUUUCUUCUUUGUAUGUCACCUUACCAGAAAAUACUACUUCAGGAGCUAGCAUAGCUGCAUCAGACACGGCCAGAGGUGCCACCUACAAACAGAAAACGGUUAGAACUAAUAUGCUACAUAGAAUAAUUAAUGCAGCUUUGCAUCAGCAUCGCCUCUGACUCGAGCAGCUUUGCACGAGCUUCCCGCUCCCCAUCCCUAGCAUCAAUUGCUUUGGCAAUGUCACCUUUAAUUUUCAGCUGCGAAGUCUUUAUUUGUUGAGAGUAUAGUAUGAGAAGAGGAAGAAAGCUGAUAUAAAUCUAGUUUCACAACUGGUGUAAUUACUAAUUAGAAUGUUUGAUUACCUUGCCUGUAGCAUCAAAAACCUUUGAUUUAGCUUCCUUUGUCUUCUGCUCAAAUUGUUUGUUUUGGUCUUCUAUCCAAUUUCUUAGCUUUCUGUACAUAAGAAGCAGAAGAGAAUCUAGCUAGGUGAGGAAUAAAAAGGAGUGGCAUGUAUAACUUAAAAUGGAAAAGGUCCUAAUCUAUGAUGAAAAAUGAUGUAAUAACUGCAUACAUGAUCUCUUGUAAGUGUAGUAUUCUCAUCUUUCAAUCUUUUCAAUUCUUCUUUCAUUUUCUGCACAAGACAAUAAAAAUCAAAAUAAAAUAAUUUGAUUAAUGUUUUCUUCAAGCCUAGGAAUUGAAAGAAGAAAAAUAAGCCUUAUGUGCUCCUCAGAAUGGGAAUAACAGAAAACGAUUGGUUUUCAGCUAUAACCUAGGAAUUGUUGAGGACCUUUAGAUGAUGAAGACCACUUUUAAAAUUUGAAUUAAUAUUUUAAUAUCUGUCACAUGGUGUUCUGUAUGAUUGAGAUAUAGAAAGGGCAAAAUAGACCUGGAUGUGAUCCGCUCCUAAUAGUCUUUGGUUGCACUUAAGGGCUUCAUGUAGAUAUCUGAGAGUAACAUGAACAUUUCCCAUGCCUUCUUCCAUCAUAGCUACAUUUAUGUAAGUAGCUGCUGUAUUUGGGUGAGAAAGCCCACAUGUGAAAUGGAGAAGAAACAAUGCACGGUUGACAUAUCUGUCCAAAGUCAAAAACAAUUAAUACUAAAGAAUUUAGGUGAUAAAGUAUGACAGAGACAACUACAAGCACAGAAUUUACAAAUGAGAUUCAGUUUCUAAACUGAAUUUGCUAUAUUUGAAAGAUAUUGCACUAUGGAAAACAAAGUUAAAGAUCGAGACAAGAAAGAACAAUCUAGAAUCGUAUCUGUAACACCCCGUUAUUUCUUAGCUAAAUUUAGAAUUAUUUUGAACUUAGAAGUCAGGAUGAUUCACGCCGGAUAUAAAGAAAAUGAAUUUAUUUUAAUUCCAACAAAAAUGAUUUACAAAAACAUUUGUAAAUUUAGUUAUUAAAUUUAUAUGCAUUGCAUAUUUAUUUAUAUUAAGCAUUUAGCAUCUACACGAGCUAUUUAUUUAAGCAAACACUGAACGAUUAUUACAGUUUUCAUAGUACAACCCGGAAGACUUUUUAUUUUAUUCAAUCACCUACCUCUCCACCACACUAAUCUUUUUCCCUACCACCACUAAUAUUUUCUUUUCCCUACCACUAAUCUUUUUCCCUACCACCACUAAUAUUUUCUUUUCCCUACCACUAAUAUUUUUCCCUAACCACCACUAAUUUGUUUUCAUACCACUACGCUUUGUAAAAAAAAAAAUAAAGCUUUUAGUCAUGCCCUUAUAUCCUUACUUCUCUCUGCACAACCAAAGUUGGAAUUCAUAGAAGCCUUUAAGCUCCAAGAGUAGUAUCAAAGUAAGGGAGAGCGUGGGAAACCUAGGGCGUAAAGUUAGAGUGAAGAUUGUGCUUCGAGGGUGAGUUUUCUUUGGUUUUUCUCAAUAGAAAAUGCUUUAAGACCAUGGAUUUUUACACAUAUGUGUGCUAUAUUAUGUGAGGAUAUGUUUUAUGAUUUUGGAUGAUUAUUUUGGUAGAGUUUAUUGGGUGAAAAACCGUGCAUGAGGUAAGGCAGCGAAUCUGCCAUAAGCACACUGCUCCGGCAGUGUAUUGCAAGGCGAUGCCAGCCAUCCAAACGGUUCCCAAAAUUUCCAAAUUAAUUGUGUAUCCACAUUAAUAUGUUUUAUAUACAAUGGUAAAAUUUAAGAAUAUUCAGAGCUCUCAUAAUUUAUUUAUGAAUUUUUAAACAUCACUGCCCAUCUGAAAUACAUUUCUGUAAACAAUCUUUGGGAGGCCAUAAGUCAAGAUUCAAUCGGUGAAAACCUUUGAAACUUGAAUAUGUCACUCUAGACUCCCGUAUAUUUCUUUUGAAACCGGCCUAACCAUUUUUGAAUAGGGAAACAACCGGUAUAAAUUCUUGAAAUCUAGUUCUUAUUCCUAGUACCAUCCAGUAGGUUUUACAAACCUACGACUUUGAGGUCACAAAGUCCAACUUAAACCUUUGAUUAUCAAGCAUAUCUUUCUACUGAAUAUGAAUUGACAUGUUGGGAACUUACUUGUUCAGUUUUAGAAUUUUUGGUGAAGCCUAAAGUGGUUUUUCCGAUUUAUGUUUUGAAUCUGCCAAACUUGAACCAUUUCUGUGCACUGAACUUUAGACAUUCAUAUCUCCUAAACCAUGAACCUUCUUGGAGUAAAUCCAACUGGAGAGUGUUACAAUCUCUCCCUAGUUUCGAAUUAACCCUUGGGGUUCCCAGUGAACUUUUGUAAAGGGAGUAUGAAUUUUUAAAGAAAGCCCACUGACUUGGUUGUAAUCUGGAAAUCUGAAAUUUUUAUAUUUUUGUUUGUUAAAUACCCAUCUUUGAGAGGGCAUAUCUUGCUCGUUUGAACUGUUUUUCAUUCGAUUCAAAUUGGAGAAUGAUCCUUGAAAUGUCUAGUUUCCAGAAUGUCUUUUGGAGCCUUAUUUGGAAAUCUGAGGCAGAUUUGGUGUCUGUUGCAAAACAACCCCUUAAGUGCUCAAGUUGUUGAAUUAUUUUCUAUGUAUCAAAGUUUAUUUUAAAGGAUGUUUCAUGAAAGAUUUAGUAUAUGUGCGUAACGAGUUUGGGGCUUUGAUUUUUUUUUUAUCUCAUUUGGGAUUUUAUUUUUAAUUCAAAGUGGACUGCCUUAUUAAAUAAAUUGGGCUGCAUUUUUACUAAAAAAAUGACUUGGUUUAAAUUUACUAAUUAGACUCUGAUAAAGUUUAAUUAUUUAUUUCUUUAAAGAAUGAUUUCAUAUUAAUAUUAAUUAUUAUUAUGUGCAUAUUUUAAGUAAUUACUUAUUAUAUGCUAAGCAUGACAUGAAAUUGCAUUAUAUUUUGCAAUAAAAGUAUUUAUGAUUUAAUUGGUUUUAAUUAUAAUUCCAAUUAUUAAAGAAAAUCGAGUAAGGAUAUUGUUGGUGUCCUUAACUCAAGAAGUUUAGUUUUCAAUCUUUAUUAUUAAAUUUUGAAACCCGGCGUGAUGAAUCAUAGAAUGUUAAGCAUUUUUCCCCAAGAUAUUAAGUUAGCUUCACGAGACCUAUUAAGAAUAGAAUUUCUUGUAGGCUUUGUGAUGACCAGGAGGAUUAGCGCUACUUUUCCCAAGACAGGUUUUUAUGUGUAUGAUCUUCAGGCUUUGCCUAACCAGGUGGGCUUACUUUCCAAAUGUACAAAGUAUGAUUGAGUUAUUAAGCUCUAAAUGUUUCAAUGAAAUGCAAACUGUUUAUUUAAUGUAAUGAAAACUGUUUAUCCAAUAAAAUAUUUUGUGCACUCUGCUCUGUUUAAGGCUCGCAUAAGUUAAUCGAUCGAGGUUCUCUUAUGACCUAACACGUUGUUUGAGAAUUGUGUACACCUAUUAGCUGACUCGGUGGGUUGAUCUCCAUUCGAGCACUAAUCAUGUAUGAGGCGUUAUAAGGGUGCUCGACGGGAUGUGUUCCGGAGCAUUGGGUCCCAAAUGGGAACUUGACUGGGUUACGCCCUCAGUUCAAGUAAAGCGGGAGAUAUGGAUCCGUCGGUGGCUAAAAGGUCCGGGAUCACAGCGAGUAACAGAAAGGGAGUGUGACAUGUGCGCACAAAUGAAAAAUGUUUUAACAUGCUUAGAAGUUAUUUCAUUUUUAAAACCUUCUAAGUCAUGUCAAGUAUAAUUGGAUAAACUGCUCUUACGAAAAUAUGAAAUGUUUAUGAAAAUGCAUGCCCACUAAGUACAUUAGUACUUAGCCCAAAAAUACUUUCAAAUGUUUUCAGGUUGGCUGGCUGGUGCUGACGGGACGGAGCUGAGGCUAGAGAUAAAUUCCUAUGUUAGACUUCCGCUGUAGCAAUUACUCUUAUACAUCUUUUGUUUUCUCAACUUAAGAUGACUUCAUGUUGAGCUUAAAUUUGAAAUUCUAGUUUUAUGCUAAAUAAUGUUGGUUGUCAGAAACAUGAAACAAAACUUGUGAUCCAAAGGGGCUUAGCCCGACUCGUUAUUUUAUUACUCGGGUUUUAACAAGGUUGUUCCUUGUUUAUUUCUAUGAAUUAUUCACACCUCGAUUAUAUUUAUUCAUUCAAAAAAAUUGGGGUGUGACAAACACUUGAGUUCAAAACGAUUCUAGUCUAUUACAAAUAAGUCCUAUGAUUUUUGGUAUCAUCAAAACAAGGGUUAGGAUAUUCCACAAGGUUCCCAACAAUAUAAUUGGGUCCUAAAUUUAUUUAUAAAAACAAAUACUCCAUUCGUUCCAUAAAAACAUACAUAAUUUUCCAUUUUCGUCUAUUCCAUAAAAAUAUACAUAAUUCAUUUAUAACAAUAAUUCUUUCAUUAAACAUCAUAAUCAAUGUGCGAUCAUUUCUCCAUUCACAUUAUAUUUUACUGAAUUUCUUAAAACUCGAGUAUUAUAAUUUCACUUUCCUCUCGAGCUUUUCCUCCGAAGUGGAAUUUCUUAAUGGGAUUAAUAUAUGCAAAUAAACUCCCAAUGUUACCAUUCUAAUUCCACUUAAACCUUCAACACAACGCUAAUAAUAAUUAGCACUCCAACGUUUGAUUAGUAUUUCACUUAAGCUCAGUCACUAAUGAAAAUAUAAAUUCGUUAAUUUUUUUUUUCAACUUUAUACGAAAUAACUUUUUAUAUUCCUCAUUUUUGCGAUAUAUGUUACCAAUAGUUUAUCUUUCAACGGCAACGAUAUCAAGCGCUGUUCCAUUAUUUAUAAUUCAAUAAUUAAAAUCACGCACUAUUAACCUACAUUUAUGUCAAGCAAAGAAAUUUAUCCUCUAUAAUAAAUAGUUCUAUAAUUUUUAUUGUACUAGCUCAAUAUUUUGCUUUAGUUCAUUAGCCUUUGCCUAUAGAAAUUUAUUGUAGAGGAGGAAUCUCUUUGCUUGAAACACCUAUAGAUUAAUAGUGUAUGAUCUUAAUUAUUAGAUUGUAAAUAAUGGAACAGAGCUCCACAUUGCGGCCGUUGAAAAAUGCAUCGCAAAAAUGAGGAGCAUGAGAAGUGGUUUCGCAUUACAUUGAAAAAGAAAGAAAAAAAAAAGGGUCCCGAUAGUGUUAAUAUUUCCAUUUGCCAUUGAGUUUAAGUGGAGCACUUAUGAUACCUCCAACCAUGAACAUACUUUCAAAGUGUCACAUCAUUGUCACAUCAGCUUUGAAAAUUCACCUUUUUUUUUUCUCUAACAUCUUUUUUAAAAAUAAAUCAAUUUCUUACUUUUUGAGGGGCCCACCAUAAUACGCACUCUUUCCGUUCACGACUUACUCAUUUUCUUUGUCCAGGAAAAGAGUCUCAUUUUACUUUUUGAACCAUCACAUUAUACAUUUUCUCAUAUAUUUAAAUAUAAAUUGUACUUUUAUUCCAUCUUUAACUAAUAAUGUAUCUUUAUUAUACUUUUUGUUAUUAAUAACGCCCCCACAGUGAUUGUACAUUAAUUCUACUUACAACAACUUUAACAAUUUUAUUGAAACUCAUGUCCACCCUCAAACAAGACUCUUUUCGUGGACGUGGGGAGUAUAUAAUUAAUUUUAUUUACAUUAUUAUUUGAUAUUUAUAUAUUUUGAUUUUAUUUUAAUUUAAAAUUCUAUACCUUAAUUAUUUAAUACUCCAUCCGUCCACAAAAAAUAGUUCAUUUUUGUUAUUUUGGGAUGUCCACAAAAAUUAAUUUCUUUCCAUUUUUGAAAACUAUCUAUUACACGGUUGGCUCUAUUCUCCACUCACAAUACAAUUAAUUAUCAUUAUAAAUACUAUUUUUAAGUAGGCCCAUUUCUUCACUCACAAUACAAUAACUAUUUUUAUUAAAACUCGUGUUUCCACCUUUAGGACUAUUUUUGGUGGAUGAAUGGAGUAUAACAAAUUAAAUCGACUUUAUUAUUAUAAAUAAUUAUUAAAAUUACAUUGAAAAAAAAAUUAAAAUUACAUUAAUUGAAAGUAUAUAAAUAUAAUAUUUCAAAUUAAUAUUACUUAAUUGUAAACAUCUGUGGCAUUAAAUUGUGCCCAAAUAUAUUGUGUGAAAUCAUGUUGAAGCUGGAAAUGAGCUUGUUUAUUUUUUAAAUCAGUUGUGAAUUUGGAGAUAAUUUUCAAAUGCUUCCCAAUUAUUACUAUCCAUUGGUAUUGGUUGUUGAGGAGUUGCAUCUUCUUCAUACCAGUUCAUUAAUUCUUCACCGUCAUCCUCAAUGAUCAUGUUAUGCUAAAAAAAAUAUACAUUGAGCAUUAUAUUGCGGAGGUCUUCCCUGAAAUAACAUCGCGCGGGAUUUCGAUUUUACUUCUAACGAGCUUGUAGCACUCCAAACGUUUGAAGAUGGAAAUAUUUGAAAGAUGCGUGAAGAAUGAAAAAAAAUGAAGGNNNNNNNNNNNNNNNNNNNNNNNNNNNNNNNNNNNNNNNNNNNNNNNNNNNNNNNNNNNNNNNNNNNNNNNNNNNNNNNNNNNNNNNNNNNNNNNNNNNNNNNNNNNNNNNNNNNNNNNNNNNNNNNNNNNNNNNNNNNNNNNNNNNNNNNNNNNNNNNNNNNNNNNNNNNNNNNNNNNNNNNNNNNNNNNNNNNNNNNNNNNNNNNNNNNNNNNNNNNNNNNNNNNNNNNNNNNNNNNNNNNNNNNNNNNNNNNNNNNNNNNNNNNNNNNNNNNNNNNNNNNNNNNNNNNNNNNNNNNNNNNNNNNNNNNNNNNNNNNNNNNNNNNNNNNNNNNNNNNNNNNNNNNNNNNNNNNNNNNNNNNNNNNNNNNNNNNNNNNNNNNNNNNNNNNNNNNNNNNNNNNNNNNNNNNNNNNNNNNNNNNNNNNNNNNNNNNNNNNNNNNNNNNNNNNNNNNNNNNNNNNNNNNNNNNNNNAUUAGAGCAAUUACAACCAUUAAAAUUAGUCGUUUAGCAUUACUACAAAGCAAUAAAAGGAAAAGCCAAUCAAUCGAAAAUAAUGAAAAGAAGAAAGAAAAAAUGAAAUAAAAGCAAUCACUGCAUGAAAAUGAAAGAAUCCAAAAUCAAUAAAACCUAUUUACAUGUAUUCUAAAAAAGACCUAUGUUCCCUAGGUUUCUCUAGGGUUUUCGUUCUCUAGGUUUUCUAGGGUUUUGUCACUCUCACGAGUUUUGGUUCGAGUUUCUCUUCUCGUGUCGACGGCUUCUUUGCGUCUUUUGUUUUGUGUCUUCCUUUUCCCUCUCCCUCUCUCAUCUACUGUUUUUUAGCUUCUGAGCUUUCUCUCGUGCUGAUCGAUGCGUGGUUUGCACCUACUUCUUGGUUUUUUGUGUUUUCACAGGUAAGGAAUUUGGUGGAUCUUCGAAGGAUCAUGGGUACGCAACUAGGCCGAAAGAGCGUACUGCAAAUGAGGCCGAAAUUCUCCAGAUCCCAGGGGAUCUAUGGAAUGAGGGAGAUAAAUCUGAACAAGCUUCACAUGAUCUUGUGGGGCGUCUGAUAUGCCCGAAACCCUCAAAUGGCUUUCAUCUUCUCGAAAUAAUGAAGAAAUCGUGGAAAACAAAAGGAGAGUUUAUUGCCCGUGAAUGGAAAAAGAAUCUGUACCUAUUCUCGUUUGCCAACCAAGAGGAUAGGGAAUGGGUUAUCCAGCAUCAGCCAUGGCAUUUUGAUGGCUAUUUGUUUGCUAUAGCCCCCCUGGAUGGAGCAAUACAGCCCUCGCAUAUUCAAAUCACAAAGUGUAAUUUAUGGGUUAGGGCUUACGAUCUCCCGAUGAGGUGUCUAAAUCAAGUUAUUCUGAGAAAUAUUGUGGCUCAAGUAGGAAAUGUGGUGGAGGUUGACACGAAAGCAAACUUCUCUGGUUGUUUUGCCCGAUUCAGAGUUGAAUUGGAUAUCACGACACCUCUCAUGCACGACAUCACUAUCUACUUUGGUGGAAAGAAUCUAUGGAUACCUUUGAAAUAUGAGAAUUUGCCUACAUUCUGUUACAAAUGUGGAGUUAUGGGUCAUCAUACACGUGCUUGCGAGAAAGAAUUAGAGGAUGAUGACUCAGGAAAACAAUUUGAAGAUCUUCUCUGCGGCCCUAACCUCAAAGCCUCUCCCCUCAAACGCAUCCGCCCGCCUGUCAUAAAUAGCUCGCUUCCUCAUAAUAACCAACCCAAAUCAACCUACCCUCACCCAAACUCCAAAGAAAACUGGCCAAAUCUCCCUCACUCACGACGCCCGAGGCCCCCCUCUCUAUCUUUCAACCUCCCCGUCGGAAAACCAUGCUAAAUCCUCUCCAUCAGAACCCCAUAACCUUCCUCCACACACUCCUAAAAUUCUUGUCACAAAUGCUAUUCAGCGACAAAACCAACUUCAGCCCGAAAACACACUAACUAUACCUGAUGCUCUUCCCAUCCAGUUCCAAUAGAAACACAAACCUGUCGCUACUACCUCUAUCUACCAACCAUCCGACCCUCGUUGCCUCGUCUUAAAGAAGCGGAACAAGGCUCAAACUUUCUCUAAACUAUCAGUUCCUAACCCGUUACCAGCAGCCACGAUAGCCAACAGUUCCAAAGCUCAGCCAGAUAAUUCUACAGCUCAUUUCACUCCAACUCAGGAUCUCUUUAAGUUCAUUCAGAUCAAAUAUCCUCCAAAUCACGUUGACACCCAGCCUAUUGCCCAAAAAAAGAAGUAGACCCUCCUCUUCCGCAAUCCUCUGCCAAAUUCUACCAUUAACAAUGUUCUGAUUGAUCAAAUUCAGAAACGUCUCAAGACUAGCAUAGUUAUGUCUGAUUCCUCCUCAAAUGCGUCAUCGGCGGAGAUUGCUUCAGAGCAAUCUCGCUGGGCACAAUGAAUUGCAUCAUGUGGAAUUGUCGGGCUUGGGAACCAGUCGACAAUUCGUCAACUUGUUUGGCUUGCCAAACACAAGCAACCUGAAUUGGUCUUUCUCUUGGAAACCAAGAUAUGUAAAGAUGAAUGAGCUCCGAUUAUUGCUUCUGUGGGUUUGGAUAACAGUUUUGUGGUGAAUUGUGAUAGUUUGGCUAAAGGGCGGAUGGGGUGGACUCUGUUUACUAUGGUCUGAAAACAUCUCUAUCAAAAUCAAAUCAGCGUCUGCUCAUCACAUUUUGGCCUCGAUGGAUGAUCAGAGUAAUCCCCCUUGGGAUUUCUGUGGGUUCUAUGGCUGGAGUAACAUCACUGAUCAUCACCUCUCGUGGGACCUCUUACGAUCUGUUGCGACCCAAGUGGAUGUUAGAUAGAUUUGUAGGGGUGUAAUGACCCGACUUUUAAUUGGGGAUUAAAAUCUUCUAAUGACUGAUUAAGGAUUUAUUAUGAUAAUUAGGGUUCAGCAUCCAUUAAUAAAAUACGGACUUAUAUGAAUUUGAUGAGUUAUAUACGUGAUGAUUUUAUUUUUUUAUUUUUAUUUUUAUUUUCAGUGGACGAUGCACUCAAAAUAUAUAUUUUGAGUCCAUUAAUUUAUUAAUGAGGAAUUUGGCUUUUAUGUAUUAACGUAUUUAUACGAGUUUCGACUACAUAAUUAUUGAAUUGGGCUCAAGAGUUUAUUUAAUUAUUCUACUUUGAUUGCAAGCUCAAACGAAUGAUGGACUUAUAUGUAACAAGGGAUUCUAUGAAAUUGGGCCUAUUUAUAUUAUGAGUUGAUUAAGGUGUAAAUAUCUAGAUAUUUUAGUUAAGUAAGCUUAAGGAUACAUGGCCAUUUUUCAUCCACCAAUCUCAUUUCUUUCUUUAAAGCCAACCCCACCACUUCACCAUUUCUCAAUUCUGCAGUCCCAAAUUUCACACAGCAAGUUAAGGUAAGAAAAUGAGGAUAAUUCAUCUAUUUCAAUUCCUUUUUCACACACUUAAUUUCCUAACCUUUGUGAUAUUCAAAUCUGCAGAGGCUAAUAUCCACCUAUUCAAGGUAUUCGCCCUUUGUUUUAAUUUUCAGAGAACCAACGGACAAUCACCAAAACGUUUACAUAUGUACACAUACAAACUGAAAUUGCAGAUUUUAAACUACAGGAAAAGAUAUUCAGAUGUUACAAGCAAUUGUUAUAUAUGAUAAUUACAGUUUGAGAAUGAUAUGUGCUAAGAAAAAUCCUAUGCUAUUUUGUGAACUGAAUUGUGGCUUGAACCCUGCUGUGUGUGUGAGUCAAGGUCAGGGGACGGCAGCCGCGGUGGCUGCCGGCGGUCGACGGUCGGCGACGGAGCCGCGGUGGCUUCCGAUCUGCCAAAGAGGGGGAAAAGGAGAUGAGUAUUUCAGAUUUUUAAUUUAGAAAAUGGAAAAAGGGGGAAAAUAGAAAAGGAAGAAAUUAGGGCUUACCUUAGGGCUGCCGGUCGAUGGAAGCAGUGGCGGUGGUGGCUCCGGCCUUCGGCUGGAGAAGAUGAACCAGGCGCGGCGGCGGAUCUGCCGCGAGGAUGAGGGAGCAGGUGGCGGCCCGGCGAUGGCGGCACACCGCGGUGGUGGUGUCUGCUGCGCCUGGGUCCAGCGGCCAAGAGAGCGAGAGAGAUAGAGGAGAAGAGAGGGGGAAAGAGUUCAGGGAGAGAGGAGAGGGGCCGACGCCGGCCUCCGUCCGGCGGGCACCGCCGUCGGGGCGGCGGCGGCAGAGCACCGAGAGAGAGAGAGAGAGUGGUGAGAUGUGGGCUGAUGUGUGUGUGUUUGAAGGUGUUUUAAUGUGUGUGUGUGUUUAGGUUGAGAAUUGAGUGGGCCUUGGGCUUCAAUAUCUGUUGGGCCCUUUUUAAUUGUGUGAUUUAAUUGACUGAUGGGCCUUUCCUUAUUUAUUGGGCUCGACCCAUAUAAAAAAAUAUGAUGGACUUAAUUUAUUUAAUUAACUUGGGCUUAUAUUCAUUUAAAUUAUUUGAGCUUUUAUUUAUUAACUUAAAUUGAGCUUGAUUAAUUUAAUUACAUAUGAACCUUUAAAUUAAUUAUAUAAAUGGAGUCUUUUAUUCGAUUAUUUAUAAGUGGACUUUAAAACGGAAUAUUUUUGAGUUAAAUUCUUAUUUAUUGAAUUCUUUUCAAAUAACUUAUUAUGGACUAUUUGAAAAGGAUUAAAUUGUUUUAUGUAUGAGAAAGCAUGAUCUAUGAUAAUAUAAUUUGUCUAUGUGAUAUUAUAUGAUUUGUUAUUAAAUGACGGAAUAUCUGGCUUGAUGGCAUGAGUAGAACGAGUUAUGAUUGAUGCGCAUAUUGACGUUCGAAUAAGUUUCGAACCUAAAUGUUAGUUAUGUGAUAAUUGUUUUGAGUUUAAGGUUUUGAACGAGACAAGAUUAAUAUGGAUGCUAGAACCCUAAAAUCAUUAAAAAUGAGAUAGUUUAGUUUAGAGGUCUAUCUUCCUUUCUUUCACGACUUCUUCUCAAACUUAUCGAUUCUUCGUCAAUAAAGGUCCAGGCGGGAAGUGAUAGCUAAAGAGGGAAGUAGCUCUACGCCCGUUGUGGGAACGAAUAAGGUGGGCUUUCUUAAAACACGUAUAUAGAGAUCCCCUGCAUACAGGCCUCUUAUACGAAAUGAAAUGAAUGACAUGAUAUGACUGUAUUAUUUCAAAUGGUGAAUGGUUCUUAUGAAAUGAAAUGUUUAUGGAAAUGAUUAAAUGGUGAAUGGUUCUUAUGAAAGGAAAGGAAAUGUUUAUGAAAUGAUUGUCUGCCAAAAAUGUUUAUGUUUUAUGUAUGUAUCCUAUCUGUGUUGGUUCGCCAACUAUAAAGGAAAUCGAAUUCGGACCCUACGCUAGACGAAGGUUUGCUAGUAAGGGUUAACGUGUACACUCAUGGAGACUGUGUGUCGCUUGCGACCGGUCUUAGCGUCCGUGGAAGGAGGCCUCCUUCCCGGCGUGUAAAAGGAACAGAUAUGGAUCAUAUAGACUGAAAAUGGGAUGCGCAUCCAACUUUAUGAAAUGAAAGAAAAUGUUUAGUAAGCACGGGUCCUUCAAGUAAAACCCUGUGUGUUACUGUUGGCAGUACAAUAAAUGAUAUAAAAUGUUAUAUUUCCGGCAUAUGUUCACUGAGUAUUUUUACUCAGCCCUGCAUGUUGUUUUCCCUAAUGUGCAGGUUGAGCGGGUGAUGGAAUGGAGUGGAGUUGAGCGGAUGUACAUUUUGACAUAGAACAGUAAUGUAACCUUGAGUAUACAUCUUCAUAUGUAUAACUCACACGUAUUUCCGCUGCAAGAUACUCUGAUUAAGCUAAUGUUUUAUUUCAUGUAUGAUACUCUUUUGUUGGGUAAUCCACUUUGACGGGCCUUCCCGAACAAACGUCUUGUAUUUGCCCAAGUGAUCAGUUAUGAUCCUAGUGUUAUAUAAAUAAAUGUCUCUUUUCGUAAAAUGUUUGAUUGUUAAGUAAAUGCCCCUUUCUUUCCCCGCUUCUUAAUCCCCUUCCCGAGUCAUAACCCCGGUUAAGCCAUCCUUAGGGAUUGCGGGCUGUGACAAGGAGUCAUUUUAAUGAGACUAUGUUUCAUUAUGAAAAUAAGGGUGGCAAUGCUAAGGCUGAUGCUCGAAUUAUGGCAUUCCGAGAUGUGGUGGAUCUUUGUCACCUUGUGGAUUUGGGUUAUACGGGAGACCCCUAUAUAUGGACAAACAACCAGAGUGGUGGAGAUAACAUUUUGGAAUGCCUUGACCGUGCGUUUAGUAAUAAGGCAUGGAUUGAUGUUUUUUUGGGUUUUGAAGUGUCUCAUCUACUUCGCAAGUCGAGCGACCACUGUCCGCUUUUACUUUCUCUUACUCGUGUGGAAAAGGAGAUUCAGAAUCGGCAAAAACCUUUUAGAUUCGUAUCCAAGUGGUUCAGAGACGAGAGGUGCACAGAGCUUUAUGACAGUUUAUGGGAAUAUGGUGGUUUGGUGAAUUCGGCGAAAGACUUCAGUGGUAAGCUCAUGGGUAUGGGUGUUGUGUUAAAAAAAUUAGGAUAAGAUGGAAUUUGGCAAGGUCAGGAGAAAAUGCGCUAAUCUUAGAUGUGAUCUGGAGAAGCUACAGAAAUCCACUCUUGAGGCUACAACGAAGGAGCAGCAGCGUCAGAUAGAAGGAGAGUUGGAUGAGUUGAUGCAGAAAGAAGAAAUUAUGUCGCGACAAAGGUCGCGAGCUGAUUGGCUCGUCGAGGGCGAUAGAAACACAAGCUUUUUCCAUAAGAUUGCAGAGGGGAGGAAACAGCGCUAUUUCAUUCGUGAAAUUAUAAACUCGGAUGGCUCAGUUGUUCGUAAACAUGCGGAGAUGGAGAAAGUCUUUAGGUCCCAUUUCAGCUCGCUCUUUACGGCUGGAACUACCCAUGAUCUUAUGGAGGUUCUCAAUUCCAUUCAACCUGUAGUCACGGAUAACAUGAACAGGUGUCUUAAUAAUGGUGCUUGUCCUGCCCCAUUAAUUCUACUUUUAUUUGCUUGAUCCCUAAGAAAAAGAAGAGCUUUACUCCUGCUGAUUUUCGCCCCAUUAGUCUUUGUAAUGUUGUCUAUAAGUUGGUCUCUAAGGUGAUUACUAAUCGUCUUAAGUCUUUUAUUCUUUCUAUCAUAAAUGAGAGUCAGUCUGCUUUGUGCCGGGUCAUCAGAUUACCGAUAAUGCUCUACUUGCUUUUGAGAUCUUUCACAUGAUGAAAUUGAAUAAAGCUCGUGCUCGUGGUGUUUUUUCUUUUAAAUUGGAUAUGGCGAAAGCUUAUGAUAGGGUUGAGUGGAGUUUCCUUGAGUUGAUGUUGAGCCGUUUGGGUUUUCAUGAUGGUUUUGUGAACCUUAUUAAGAGAUGCGUGUCUACUGUUUCCUUCCGUGUUCUUGUUAAUGGUUUUCUAGAUGAUUUGUUUGUGCCUAGUCGUGGUUUAAGGCAAGCGGAUCCUUUAUCCGCUUUCUUGUUUAUUUUUUGGGCGGAAGCUCUUUCUGGCCCUCUCCGCACGGCGGAAACAACAAUAUGUUGCACAGGGCCCGGAUUUGUCGCUUAGCUCCAAGUGUGAGUCACCUACUGUUCGCUGAUGACGGCAUUAUUUUUGGGCGAACAAAUUCUGUAGAGAUUGAGGUGGUGAAGGAGGUCUUGAUGCAGUACGAAAGAGUCUCUAGGCAAAAGGCCAGUUUGGAGAAAUCGACUAUUAAUUUCAGUUGUGGUGUGCCUAAUGAUCUGAGGGAAUUACUUGCGAUUCUGUUGGGAGUCAACAACGUUCUUCAGCACGGCAGAUACCUUGGAAUCCCGAGCACUGUGGGUAGAUCCAAAACAAAAAUAUUUCAAAUGUUGGCGGACAGAAUGAGGAAAAAAUCUAAAGACUGGAAGAGGCGCUUCCUAUCAGGGGCUUGCAAGACGGUGCUUAUCAAAUCAGUGCUCCAAUCUAUUCCCACAUAUCUAAUGAGCUGCUUUGCUCUUCCUGAGCAAAAUUGCCAAAUACUCAAUAGCAUCGCUGUGAGUUUUUUUUUUGGGACAAAAAAAAGACGAGCGACGUAUUCAUUGGAGAAGUUGGAAGAGGUUGUGUCAACCCAAGUGUGAAGGUGGUCUUGGCUUCCGUGAUAUUAGUUUGUUCAACCAAGCCAUGUUGGCUAAACAAUCACGGCGCAUACUUCAUGGUGGUGAAUAUCUUUUGAGUCGAUCAUUAAAAGUCCGCUACUUUCCUAGGACCGAUAUCCUCCUACCUAAAAAGCCCCAUAACCCAUCUUUUACAUGGAAAAGCUUGUUAGUAGGGAGAGAUCUUUUAUUGGAAGGAGUAGCUUGGAAGAUUGGCAAUGGAGAACAAAUACGGGUUAGGCGAGAUCCUUGGUUGACGGAUGGUGUUGGUCGCUUUUAUACUGCAAGUGUGCCGGAAGAAUGGAAAGAGGUUAGGAUGUAGGAGCUUAUGUUUCCAGAUUCUUACGCUUGGGAUUGGGACAAGAUUGACUCUCUAUUACAACCUGAUGAGAGGAGACUUUUCCCUACUCUUGCCUGCCCCUAUGAGAAAGUUGAUACUCCGAUUUGGCCACAUGGUAAGUUUAACUCUUAUUUUGUGAGAUCGGGUUGUAUGGUGGCCUGUUCCUUAGCUAAAUGAAAUGAGGCGUCCUCUUCCUCCUCCACUCUCGACCCUCUUUGGCAUUGGAUUUUGGGGACUGGAAGUUAUACCGAAGGUUAAACACUUUUUGUGGCGUUGCCUUGCGAGAGCGAUUCCUUCGGCUUAAACUCUUGGAGGUAGAGUGAUCAAUGUUGAUCCGAUGUGUAGAAGAUGUAGCGUGUGUGCUGAAUCUGUCAAACACACCAUUCGGGACUAUUCCUAGGCGUCUUUUCUGUGGGCUGCCUCUCCGCUUCGUCUACGCCUUCGGGGGACAAUGUCGGGAGCUCCAUUGCAAGUUGGUUCGAUAGUAUCCGGAAUAUCACCUAAAGUGAAUAUCAUAAUCUGUUUGCAUCAAUCGCUUGGGUUGCAUGGUAUGCUAGAAAUAUGCUGCUCUUCCAAAAUAAGACUCUCUCCCACAAAGAGUGUUUGGCAAUCGCGCUCAGGGCACUCCGGCCCUCUCAAGCGAUCGUGGCCCCCCUACAAGUUCCUUCAAGGAGGGUGUUUGUUCUGCACUAAGGAAGAAUAGUUCAAGGUCUCUGGGGAUGCGGCUGUUAUGGUGGGUGUUGCAGUGGGAUUCGGAGCUGUGAUUACCGACAAGAAUGGUGAUCUAAUGAGCUAUUGUUACGGUUUCAUGCAGGGUCCUUUGAAUGCCGAAGAAGGAGAGGCUCUGGCGGCUUUUCAUGGGGUGGUGCAACUGUGUUUGGAUCGGGGUCUCUCGGAUAUUAUCCUUGAAACUGAUUGCCAAAAUCUUUACUGGCGACUGAUUAAUCGCAGCGACGAUCUCUCUUACAUUGUGACACCACUUCAAAUGCUCUCUCCAUUUCUGAUAGUUUCCGGAGGUGUGCAUUCAGCUGGACAAGACGAGAAGGAAACGCUAUGGCAGAUCGCCUCGCUAAAUUUGCUUUAUCCAAUCGUGUUAUGUUUUUCGUUUAUGAGGCUUUCCCUCAUGUUCAAACUUUGAUUUUGAAUUUUAAUAUAUGCUUCCUUUGGUUCUAAAAAAAUGACAAAAUCAGCCGCAAAGAAAAAAAGAUAAAAAUAUAAAAAAGAAAAUAAAAAAGGCCUGCAAGUGUCAGGUUGAAGUUGGGUGCGAAUUUGAAACUAGUUUCCUCAAUUUCGACUCCAAAAAUCAAAUAUUUUCUUCAUGUAGUUCUUAAAAUACUAAUUUUCUAUAUAUUUUUUUAGGAUCUACUCCCUCCGUCCCUGAAAUAAGUUCUUCUUUUUCCUUUUUGGGACGUCCCUCAAAUAAGUUCCUCUUUCUUUCUUUCCAUUUUUGGACAACUACCCCACCACUAAUAAUAUUUUAUUUAUUCUUACUUUUCACUUUUUCACCACUCUCAAUACUAAUUAUAACACUUUUUCACCUUUUCACCACUCCCAAUACUAAUUAUAACAUAUUUUUCUCCACUAUCAAUACAUUUUACCAUUUUUUCUUAAAAUUUGUGCCGUCCCCAAAGAGAAACUUAUUUUGGGGACGGAGGAGUAAUGUUUUUUAUAAGUUGUAAAACAGUAUUUUUAUGAAGAAUGUAGACCUAGUUCAAAAUACAAACAUCCGGCGUAGAUUAUAUAUAUUGACAAGAUAUGAAAGUUACAUCCAAAGUAUUAUUAUUAUUGUUAUUAUUAUUAUUAUUAUUAUUAUUAUUAUUAUUAUUAUUAUUAUUAUUAUUAUUANAAUCUCCCAUUCGCUCUCCGACUGUUCCUUUUCCGACAACAUGUCUCCGGCCUCAAUUAUUGCCAACGGCAAACCAUCACACUUGGCAACGAUCUUUCUCCCAAUCUCCUUUAAGUGGGUCGGGCAUUUAGUGUACUCUCCGAAUACAGUCUUCAAGAACAAUCGCCAACUCUCAUUAGGAUCAAGAAUUUUCCUCUCAUGAAUGUAGUGGGCAUGCGCUAUUAUAUUCCGAAUGCGACUGGUCAGCAGCAAUCUACUUGCUUUCUCUGCUUACACAAGAAGGAGGAACCGAUUCAAUUAUGUAUCUAAGCAAUUGUAUUAAUUCUUAGGUUUUGGUAAUUGAAAAUGGUCGAAAAAUAGCAUGAAAAAUGAUGUUAUGAAACUCUAUAUUCUUUUCUUUUUUUCGACUACUUCUCAUGACCAAAAUCCAACAUUAAGGGCAUCAUUAGAGAGCUAUCAUCAUGAGAUUAAUAACGGUACCUUCAAAUUGCUCAUCAGGCUUUAGACAAUUAAGCUAUUGGACAACAAACUUUUUGACUCAUGCAAAAUUUCAAAAAAUAAAAUUUAUGUAUUUUUUGACAAAAAAAAAAAUCGUUAAAAACAAAUUUCGGAAUAAAGGAAAAAAUAGACGGUAUAACACACACACAAAAAAAAGGAUUUUUAACUGAAAAAGGAUAAAAAACAUUCAAAAAAAAAAUUUGGUAUAUUUACACACAAAUUGCUUAUUUAUUUAUUUAGGAACGCAGUUGAUGAUAAGCAAACACAUGAACAUACCGUUAUCAGGAAAAGCGGUCAACACAAACUCCAAGUCUCCGUCUCUCCAAACGUGGUCCAGAACUAUGAAAUAUCGUCUGCUCCGCAGGUGUAGAAAGACCAUAUCACGGAGGCGUCUACGGUCGUCCGCUUCCACCAUCUUCGUCUCCGGCUGCUCGUAUUCGAUCCCCAGCUGUAGAAUUAGUUCCUUAAGCACCUCUUCUGCACUCAACGAUUCACUCGACACACAUAUCCAAGCGCGGAGCUCGAACUCGGAGGCCACGCGUUCAUGAUUGUAUACUAUCUGAGCAAGAGUCGUCUUCCCCACACCCCCCAUGCCCACGAUGCACGAGGCGGCAAGCCAUCGCGCCGCCGCGGCCUCGUCGAAGAAGAUCGCUUCUUGAAGCAGCGACUCCACAUCAUCCUUCAUGCCCACCACUUGGGACUCUAGAAUGUUCCGACGGGGGGGUGGUUGAAGGCUUGAUGAUCUCAUGGCGGCCUCCGCCGGAGACGAAGAUCUAGAAUAAUCAUUCUUCAGAUCUCGGAGGCUGCUCCGGAUGCCGUCGAUCCUCGUGAGGAAUUCGAUCCGAGAUCUGCGAGGAGGAAUUCUCUUAUCCUCGCGGCUGGAGAUGAAGGUGUCAAUGGCGAGGUCCGCCUCAUGAGCCAGCUCCUUGGUGCUGCUGUCGUCUGUGAGGAGAGGGAGCAUCCCUCUCAGAUCAUCUAUCAGACCUCUCACUUUCUCCCCACCGCCGACGAUGGAAGCGCCCUCCUUGACCAGCAGAGUCUCCAGCUUUUCCACCGCCGAUAAUAUCAUUGCCUCCGCCAUAUUUCUCCGACUAAUUAAUUAAUGGAGCGAUCGGAUCUUGCCUAUCUCAACUUUGUUGACUACAUCCACUUUAGUUUCUAUAUUUCACUGCGACUAUUUAUGUCAAAAAAACAAAUAUGUAAAUAUAUUUUACUCUCAUCGUCUCAUUCUAAUAGACUCGUUUUCCAUGCCCAAACAAAAUGAGGCUCUUAGAGUGAAACGAAUCGAGUAUUAGACUAUUAGUUAUUCACCCCCGAAUAACAAAUUAGACUUGGUUCAAUCCAUCAUAUUGUUUAUCUUUAAUUUAAUAUUGUAUGCAAGUUGUAUCCAACCUUGGUACACUCUAGGGCCUCAUUUGCUGAUAAGUGUGGGAUAAAUAUUUAUAACUAGGGAUAUCAAUCGGGUCAAUCCACCAAAUUUUGGGUUAGCCCUAUUAGGUUGCGGAUUAUUCGGGUGCAGGCUAAUCAGGUUGAAAUUUUUUUCGAAUUAGAAAUUUCCAACCCUAACCCUAAAUGUUCGGGUUUCAAACUAGUCCAUCGGGCUAGUCAGGCUCAAAAAAUUAUUUAAAAGAAUUAAUUAAUAUAUUUCUUUUAACAAUAUUAUAUUUGUAAUAAAUAAAUAGACACAUAUAUAGGUAACAUUUCAACAUCAACUUACAUAAUAACUAAUAUGCAAGUCUUGGAGAUAUAAAGAUGCAAUAUUUUAUUAAAUAAUAUUUUUUUUUAACUUUUACAUCUAAAUAUUUUAUGUUAUGUAUUGGAUUAAAAAUACGGAGAAGUGAAAUGAUGAAUAUAACUUUCUAAUAUUGAAUCAAAACAUAUUCACACACUUUUGGAAAAAUUAUCUUAUUAUACUAAUUUUCAUAAGCAAAGUAAUGAAGUUGAAAAUCAAAUAACGAGAAUUUUUUAUAUAAUCAAGUGAGCACAAUAUUUUUAGGUCAACCCUAUAGGAUUUCGAGUUAGCUUCGGGCUGACCGUAUCGGGUGCCGGGCUAAUCGGGUCAGCUCAUGAGUUUCAGGCUGGAUUGACAUUCUUAUCUAUAACACCUUAAUAUGUUGUUUGUUUUAAAACUUAAAAUCCUUUAUAAAUUAAUGAUCUGUUAUCUAUUAUCCAUAUCUUUUAGAUUAUGUAUCAUAUCCGAGAGAUGUGAUAGCGUAAAAUCGUUUUUAUAUUUCUUAUCAAUCAAUAUCUAAUAAAUUAAUAAAUAUAAUAGUGGCAAAACUUUUUUUUUCUUUACGUAAAGCUUAAUAUUUUUUUACUACGUAUACUCCAUGGGUGCACACUAAUUCUAUAUUUAAUCCCAAAUUAUGGUCAUGACUCAUCAUAAAUUGAAUUCACACACCUCUUUCCACGCUACAGUCGCUACUUAAAAACAUGAAAUGAGAUUCAGUGUAUCACACUUUAUGUCCCACUUUCAAUUUUGUUUAAUUUUUUAUGUAUAUUUUUUUCAAUUAAAACUUUAUAUGCUUUAGUUUAAUUUUAUGAUUAUUAACUAGGGUUUAUCCCAUCAAUUUAGGGUAUAUAAUUAUUUUUUUAUCAUUUAAUUUCACUUUUAUUAGCUAAUAAUAGGUUGAUAAAUUUGAAAUAGUUUAGCGCCCCAAAUUACCAACAAAGUAAAACUGUGUAAAGAAAAGAGUAAUGUUGGAUGCAAUGUUAUCAACAGAAUGUUAAUAACAUUAUAACCAACAUGCAGCGGAAAGUAAUAACACACAGGAAUACUUUUUUCACGGAUUAUAAAUAACCCGUGAGUGCCUCAAGGCUAAAUUCACUAUGUUGAAUCAACAAUACAAAGUACAGAUUUUGAUCUUCUUGGAGAUCUAUCUCUACAGAAUAGCUGCCUAAGAUAAACCAACAUAUCUACAAUCAGCACUAAAAUGUUGAAACAACACAGAAACCAAAACAGCCGAAUAACAAAAGUUAAUCGAACAAAGCAACCUGCUACGCUCCAAUGGCCUCGAACUUCAACCCUUACCCUCGACCUCCGUCAAUACAAAGAAAGACUUUACAGAUUGGCUGCCUAAGACUACUCCGUCAAAGCAAGCCUUGAAGAACCGGUGACACGUUUGCAGCAGCAAAAUGACGAAUUAACUGUGAACGAAUGUUAAGUCGCAGAAAACGCACUCCCAAAACGUAAGGAUGAAUGAAGCUUCUUGCUGCAUUUAUAGACCUUCAUGUCGUGGUUAGUUUCAUCCACUUCCCACUUCCAGAACCUUCCAAUAACCGCUGCAAUCCACCUCCAAAAACUACCAGUCGACCAGCCUGGAAUGUUGGCUAAGAGAUCAUGGGUCCUGAAAAAUAGCAACAAACAGCCCACCACUUUAAACCAUGAAAAACCACCUAUCCACUUAUUAAAAACGUGGUCAACAAACAUAAAACCAUAAUUCCACAACCAAAGAAUAAGAAAACGUGAAAGGAAGGUAAAGAUUAAAUAUAUACAAUUACCAAUGGAGAGUCAAAGUAUGGAGUCAAGGCAGACUCCAGAAUGUUGGUUGAAACCCAGAAAUGUUGACACCAUGAAUGUUAUCAACAUUCCACCCAACAUUGAAAACACGAAUGUUAUCAACAUUGGUCCCAACAUUAUCGGAGUCAACAUUGACUCUAACAAAAUAAAAAGAAAAAAUAUAAUUCAUAAAAUUUAAUUUUUUGAAAUAAAACUUCAAUAUAAUUCAUAGUAUUAUAAUAAAUUUUAUUUUUAUAAAAAAUAUUUUUAAAAUAAUAGAUAUAAGCAUGGAACACAGUGGCACACAUAAAAUUGUGGGACACUGGAUCUCAUCUCUUGACCAUACCCCCUCCUCCCUUUAUUUUUAAGUGUCUCAGUCUGUUUUUAUUUUUAUUUUUUAAUAAGUGUUAAAUAGUAAUUAAUAAUAACAUGUUAACUAUAAAUUUUAUUGUGUAAUCUAGUGACUGAAAAUACUUUAAAACAUAGGGAGAAAUUUUGUUUUAUUGUUCGAUUCACGUCGGGUUCAAUCCCAGUCCACAAUAUUUUUUCCGAUAAAAAAACUAUGUAAAUAUUCACAAAUUUCGGUGCGGCCUAUAUAUUUUUGAAAAGUAAAUAUGAAAUUCUCAUUUAAGGAUAAAGAGUACAAGAAGUACUCAAAUUGAUGACAAGAAGAACUAAAAAUCUGUCGGUAUACAAUCAAAAGGAUGAGAACUUUAAUCAUGCAUAUACACAUAAAAAUGAUGGAUAGUAAGACUUUAAUUAUUUCCACGAACAAAUUAAAUUUAAUACUCUCCACAAUAUUCUCAGCCAUCAAUAUUGAUUUUUUUAAAAAUCUUAUCAUUUCUCGCUUUCCGACAAAGGCAUGUGAACUAGACUUUAUUGUGAACUGUGAUUAUAUAUAGUAGUUGAUCUGACCAAGUGCAGUAAUUAAAGUAUGGGAUAAUGCAACUUGUUAUUAGACAAUUGCUCAAGUAUUAAAAUUAGCCAUGGUUGCUGGACCCCACGUGCACCGCAGCUCAGAUUUUGAAGUCACAUAUGAUAUUAAAAUUAAAUUCCCAUAGUAAGAAUUUCACAAGGAAAAUUGCGACAAAGAAUAAGCAAAUGUCAAAAAGUAAAUGUUGGGCACACAACGGAAUAAAAAGAAUUUAAUUGCACGACAAAAUUGGAAUUAAUUAUACUUUAUCGUAUCAACCAUUUCAUUUAUGGGGCCAAGAUAACUAUAUUCUUAAAUUUUUCUAGAUCAGAUGCAUGGUAGUGUUUUCCACUAUAGUUACAAUACGAUUACAUCUCAUAUAAAAAUAUCUUCCGAUAAUGUCAAUCCUCCCUUCCCCCAAGUUAUAUAUAUAAAAACCUAAAAAUAUAUAUGCAUAUAUUGUGGGGAGCAGUUGGCAGUGCUGCUUUGAUUGGAAAUAACAACCAAUAAUCGAUUUUCCUAAUUAUUAAUUAGUAUAGUAUUCAAUUUUAGCUUACGCUAUAACAACUAAAUAUCUAUCCUUGCAAACAAUUAGUGCAAAUCUAAUUGUUUUCAUGAUACAUCUGGAGCUAGAUUAACACUUUUUCCUGAACUUGGAACAAGACUUUUGUGGGCUUCUGCUCCAGAUUGAAUUUAUUUUUCUCUUCUUUGAUAUCUAUAAUUUUGGUUCUUGCUUUUUGAGGAGAGAAAAUUUGAUGGGAUCUUCCAGCACUGCGCCAAAACGGGGUAACCGCAUUCCUCAGAGAGAUGGUUAGUGGAUUCUAACCUUGUGUUUCAGGUUGUUGUUUUUCUUGAGUUUCUGUAAGAUGAAAAUAAACUGAGUUUUUCAUUUUUGGUGAUUUGGAACUUUUGUGUUUGAGAUAACAAAUUUUUAAUGUUUUCGUUACACAAAUAUUAAUAUAUAGUACGUGAAAUUAUAUUUUUUAGCUAGUUACUGUUGUUGUUUUUAUGCAUAGGGAUGUCCAGUUAUGUCAAUGGAUCUAGGACCCAGUCCAUAUCCUCGAAUCCCAGAUCCAUAUGUUUUUUUAGAUCUAAACCUUCCAAACAUAGCAUUCAACUGAUCUGGAUUGGAUCUGGGCUGGGCGAUGAUGAUUUGGAUUUGGAUGAUGAUUUUUGUGUAAAUCCUAUACAUUCGUCUACGAAAGAACUUCCUAAAAGGAGUUUAAAAUUAUUUAAGUCCACUAUCUUAAGACGGUUUGCAAAAAUAGGCCAAUAUAUUUCGAACUUGCAAAAAUAGGCCAAUUAUUUUAAUUUUUAGUAUUUUUGGGCCACAUUUCGGCAUUCAUAUGCCACAUUUUUCGGUCAAAGUGUGGCCAAAAAAUCUGAUUGGAUUCAAAUGUGGCUCAAAAAUACUAAAAAUUAAAAUAAUUGGCCUAGUUUUGCAAGUCCAAAAAUAUUGGCCUACUUUUGCAAAUCGCCCUAAGAUAAUGGCCUUAAAUAAUUUUAAACUCUCCUAAGAGGGAGUGACACGAGUUUAAGGAAAAAAAGUAGUUGAGUGUAUUAAAAGUGGAGAAAAAAGUUGUUGAGUGUAUUGAGAAUGAUGAAAAAUUGUUUUAAUUAGUAUUGAGACUCAUAUAUUUCAAAAAUAAGCAGGAAGUUCUUUUGUGAACGUCCCAAAAAGGAAAAGUAUGAAGUUUUUUCGUGGACGUAGGAACUAUAUAUUAUUUUUUAUUUUAUUUUUAACUAGAAUUAAUUGUUGCAGAAGAAGGAGAUGACGAAGAUGAAUAUAUAGAACAACUUAAGUGGCAGAUUUGUAAUACGUAUCGAGAAGAUCUCUCGACUGUCUUAAUCACAGGCAUGGCUGGUAUUGGAAAGACAAUUCUUGCUAGACAAGUAUACAACCACGAACAUGUCGUUGCUCAAUUCCAGUGCCGUGCUUGGGUGUGUGUUACUGACUUGACUGGGAAAGAGGUACUUAUGAAACUAAUACAACAGGUAUUAAACAGUUAUAAACUCGAAAGAGAUUCCUUGAUAGAGAAAAUGGAGCGUGGAGACAAUAAAAGUCUCCAAGAGAUGCUUCACCAACACCUGAAAGGAAAGCGAUAUUUCAUAGUUCUCGACGACGUGCCCAAAGAAAUGAACUGGGAAUCUAUCUGGAAAGGUCUUCCAAAUGAAAGUAUGUUCCUCUUUGUGUUAGUUAAUCUUAUGUCCUAGCAUUUUUAAGUUUCAUCUCAUGUGAAAUUUUCAUUUAUCCAUAUACAUAAAAACUCAACAGUACUUAGUAGCAUGGUAGGUGAUACUAGUACCAAAAGAACUACUAAAACAAUAAAGAACUUAAUUUAUGCCAGAAACUGGUUGCCUAGUUCGGUGUUAAUACAUCUAUAUCUAGAGGACCUUGCCUACGGAAAAUAAUCCACUAACUGAUGUUAAGAUACUGAUGAACUUACACAAUAAAACUCCUUCUUUCUAUGCCUUUAUAUCUUUCUAAAACUUCACCCACGUGGAUGGUUGGAAGCAAGUCCAUGACUUACCUAGACAUGAACUCACUUUGGUCUCUAAUCCCUUGUACUCUCUACAUCCUACUAUAUCUUGGCCUAGUUCUUCUCGGCACAGUUAUUUCAGAGGAAAUGUGUAUUGUCUAUAAAGUGUUAUGCCCACUUGUUUGUGUAAAUUAGUGACCCUUAUUUUUGCCGAAAACGAAUUAGGCCAUGUCAAAUGGUUAGACCGAAAAUAAAUGCUGGCCAAUGUGAGACGGGACAGAGGGAGUAAAACUUAAUUUAUUAAACACUUGGUAAAGAAAUAGACUCUUUACCAAGAUCUAAACAACACUAUCUUAACAACUAGACCGAAGUCUUAUUGCCAAAACCAAGGUGUGAACAUAUAAUAAACCAACAACUCAAAGACUCAAGGUAUGCAUAAGUGAUCUUCAUGCCUCCAUAAUCAGAAUUGUCUUGCAAAACCCUAAUCCACCCUCCUUGAGUGAAGAGCAGUCAACCCUUGAUGAGAUAUACUCCAUAUCUUCAAUCAUCAAAAAUCUCAUCGACUAAUUACCAAACAAAAUGGGGGGCAAAAUUGCAACUCCAACAAUCAUAGUCUUUUUGUCUAAUAAUAUGAUUUUGCAUACUUUUAAAUAGUGGCUACGAUGUGCCAUCACACACGUCAUUUUACUCCCCCGCCGGUUAUCUUACUUCAAUCAUACGGCUAGCUAUGUCAGCAAUAAAUUUUGUCGAAAUCUUAAUUGAUAGCUAAAUUAGAUUUAAUCAAUAGUUCAAUAAUUUCCACGCUAAUAAGGAACCAUUAUUGAUCCUCUUUAAAUGAAGAGGAAAAAAAACCUAUUUUUUGUAGUCACAGAGGAAUUAAUUGUGAUAUUUCAUACCAUAAUAUUUUCUUUAUGUAGAAAAAGGAAGUAAAUUGCUGCUCACGAGUCGCAUUAAGAAUACACAAAGAGACCCCUUCUCUUUGCAUGAGAUGAAAAACAGUAUCGAUUAUACUUAUUUUAUGCAACCUCUAAAUCCUGAGGAGAGCAGGCAAUUUUUUUCGAAAACAAUAUUCUGUGGCAUUGAUAAAUCACACGAAUUCCCAAAGCAUUUGAUGAAAAUAGGGAGGGACAUGUUGACACUGUGUGGCGGUGUGCGGUUAGCUAUAAAAGAGAUGGGAAUGCAGUUAGCAGAAAAGAAACGAUUAGGGAGUGAAUGGGAGCAUCUUCUUCAACCAACUCCUUGCCAUGCACUUUUGGAGGCUAUCAUGUUAAUGACAAUACAAAGGCUAGACAGCGGUUCAGAUUAUUGGGUUAAUCUGGAAGAGGUGAUUAAUGUCCUUAAAAUGAUGGUGGAUUUCGUGAGAGACAAGAAAUUGGAAGAGGGAAGCAGGCUGUAUUAUUUCAUAUGCGACGUCGUCGACAUGGCUCACUAUAUUGGGAAGAAUAGGCCCAUUUCUAAAAAUAAUGAAAAGUCUAUCCUAAGAUGGACCAGCGAGGUCAAGAUGAGCAUGCUCCAAGGGGCGGAGACAGAGUACUCGUCGUGUAAAUCAGAAAGCUUUGGAGAAGGAGACGGAGAUGGAGAUGUGGUGGGGUUGGAGGAAGACGUGGAUCUGCUGCUUCGCAGAGUGAUUUCUAAUGGGGAACUAAACAGCUAUUUGAUCACAGGCAUGACUGGUAUUGGGAAGACAGCUCUUGUAAGAAAAGUGUACAACCAUUCAGACGUCGUUGAUCAAUUCGAUAGGCGUUUUUGGGUAUGUUGUUUUACUAACUUCAGUCAUAAGAAAAUAUUGAUGAAGAUAAUACAGCAGGUGGUGGAUUGUGAGGAAUUCGAAAGGGAUUCUUUAUUGGAGAAAAUGGAGUGUCCAGAAAACUUUUGUGUGGGAGAGAUGCUUCGCAAACAUCUCGAGGGAAUGCGAUAUUUGAUAGUUCUUGAUGACUUUCCAAAAGAAAUGUGCUUGGAAUAUAUCUUGAAAUUUCUUCCAUUUGGAGGUAUGCUCAUGCUUUUACUUAUCUUGGUAUUCCUAUUAUUUGUGUUCAUGUCAUGUUGCUAACUUAGAAUGAGCAUCCUUCUUAGAAUAAGAGAUUAAUUUAAACUAAAUGAUCAACUAUAUGAUGUUGAGGAUUUAAUUAGUUUCAAUUAUCCAUAACUAUAUAAAUUAGGGUUAAUUGCAUAUAGUAUCCUAUUUCCUAUGUCCCAUAAUUUAUUGUAUCUCACCAUGUUUCACUAUUAAUUUAGCUAUUUUAUACUCCCUCCAUUGCAUUUAACAUGACCCAUUUGCUAUUUUGGGUUGUCUAAUUACAAAUGGUUCAUUUAAAAAAGAAAACUCCUUUAUCUCACAAAAAGUUGUAAACUUCACAACUUUCUAUCACUUAAUUUUAUCUUUUAAUCACUCUAUUUUUUAAUAUCCGUGCUCAAGGGUAAGGAGCCAUACUUAGUGGGAGAGAGGGAGGGAAUAAUUGUUUGAUAAAAAAAAAAUUGUUGUAUAAUAAACUCUAAUUAAUUAACUCUAAUACUCAAUUAUUCAAUCAUAUACGUAUAGAAAAAAAAUUAUAAAACUAAUUGGAUGAGUACUGAACCCAUAUUAAUUAUCUUAAAAUUAGACUAAAAUAUACUCCCUCCGUCCACUAAUUGUUGGCCUAGGAGGCAAAACACGGGUUUUAAGAAAAAAAUGUAUUUUUAUUAGUUGAGUGGAGAAAGGGACCCACAAUUGUGAUUAAAAUAUGAAUAUAAACUUACCCAAAAUAGAUAGGACAUAAAUUGGCGGACGGACCAAAAAGGUAAGUAGGCCAACAAUUAGUGAACGGAGGGAGUAAUAAAUUAAAAUUAAAGAAAAAAGAUAAUAAAAAACUUUAACAAAAUAGAAAUUGAGACACGGAAUGGGACAACAAAUUAGGACAGAGGAUCUCAUGUGGGUUACGCGCUUGUAAAUUCACGAAGUAUAUUUAUAAUUUUCAAGCAACACUAUUUUUUUGUUCAAUAAACACAUAAACUUUGAACCUUUCGGAAUUAAGCUAGAAUUAAAUUUUCGGCAACAUUUUAUCCUAUGCAUGUCGAUGGAAUAAUUUUCCUAGUUGAGUAGUAUUCUGAAUGUCCCUUGUUGUGUAAGCAGUUAAAGGAAGUAGGUUGCUUCUCACAAGUCGAUUUGCGUAUAAAGAUGUGAACAUCGGUUAUACUCAUUGGGUGAAAACUUUGGAUCCUCGUAAGAGCUGGCAAUUGCUUUUGAAUGCAAUACCAAGUGACCUCAAAUUCCCAAAGCACUUGGAGAAAAUGGGGAAAGAAAUGUUGAGAAAAUGCGACGGUCUGCCAUUAGCUAUAAUCGAGGUGGGCAAACAGUUAACAGAAAGGAGACCAUUGAAAGAGAUUGAAUGGGAAGAAGCUCUUAAAUCCAUCGAUUUCGGCGCAUUACUGCCGUUAUUUGAGUUCAGUUAUCAAAAAAUGGAUCCAGAAUCUAGGCCAUGUUUCUUGCAUCUGGCCUUCUUUAAGGAAUAUACAGGUAUUAGGACAGGAAAGUUGGAACAUGUUUCGGCUAUAGUAAGAAAGGUCUCAGAAAACCAAAUUAGAUCAUAUGUGAGUAUCUUAGCUCAGGAAUGCUUUGUCGAGAUCAAGGACAAGAAGAGUUGUCGCGUCAAUGCUAUACUACACAUGCUAUCCAUCAAGAAAGCAGACGAGGAAAUAGGUCUUGAGAUCCUAAGGAGCAAUGGAAAUAAUCGACCCUCUGAGAGUCCUCGUUAUCAUUUGUAGCAGAGACAAGUUCAGCUACUCCACGGAUCAUGAUAAACAUCUUGUUUCUCUCUUCUUCCAUGGAGGUGGCUACUUGGACGCCAGUCCAUCUUACUGGAAGAGCUUUGAACUACUUAAGAUAGUUGAUUGGGAAGAUUUUGGGCUGAAGAAUUUGCCAGAAAGUGUUAUUGACACAAUGAUGGGAUUAAGAUACUUGGUAUUGAGAAACAAUUACAUACAAAAGCUCCCACUCUCGUUGGGGAACUUGAAAGAGCUUGAGAUUCUUGAUAUAGCUCUCAACUUUAUGGUGGAGGUGCCAGAUAUUAUAUGGGAAAUGUGUAGCCUUCGUCACCUCUACAUGUCUGAUGUGAUUAGCCGAGAGCCUUUGAAGAUUGACACACUGGAGAAUCUGGAGAGCUUAACCUACAUCUCUUUUGAUGAUUGGAAGUAUGAGUUCUCAGGCAUGGAAAAAAUGAGCCGUCUCUACAAACUUGGCAUUGAACAAAUUGAUACAAGCUCGGAUGCAAGCAAGCUUUUUGCUUCGUUGCAGGUUGAGCUGAAGAAUCUUGAAACCCUAAUCUUAAGAGGGUUUCGUUUCAGAAGCAUGCCUUGUUUGGAAAACCUUGGUAUUCUACGAAGUAUUCGUACACUCAAACUAGAAGGGCUCCUUCCUAGGUUACCAAUGGCCUCUAAUUUCCCUCGAUAUCUUGAAUCAUUGACGUUGGUUAAUAGCUGUCUUGAUGAAGACCCCAUGCCACUACUAGCCGCGAGGUCACCCGUCCUUAGGCACCUUAAAUUGCGGAAUGCAUACACUGGUCAAAAAAUGGUGAUCUCGAAAUACAUGAAUCACCUCGAGGUCUUGUGCAUGGAAGAGCUGUGGAAUGUGAGAGAUUUACAAGUUGGAAAAGGUAGACUGUCAAAUCUCAAGAAUUUAGAGAUCAAGAAUUGUCCAUACCUGGAGACGCUUCUGGAAGAGAUUGGGGAGAUGAGAAAGUUGGAGGAGUUAAAGAUGGUGACAACCAAAACCAUUGCAACACAGAUCAGAAACUCACACUUAAUCUCCGAAAUAAGGCAGCGUUCUUUAGAUUUUCAGUUGCAUUUGAAUAGUGAUAACUAAGAAUUACCUGUUAAAUACGGAAUUCAGCAUUGAUCACGGUCAUUGUAACUCGUACUUAUGCUCCCCAUUCCCCCAUCCCAAUUCUUCCCUGCAAAUAACCUUAAACCCCCCCCCCCAAACAGAUUACUCAUCCCCAGCGCUGCCCCCUAGCCCCCAGGCCCCAACCCCUUCUACUAAUUGUCUCCAUCACCACUUCUAGCCUCCGCCUCUGCUUAUCUGCAAAUAUUUUGAUUUUUAAUGAAAAUUUUGAAAAUUGAUGAUGCAAGUGGUGGUUUCCGGCAACGACGAUAUAGGCGCCUAUGCUGGCGCGAGAUUGGGAAGGUACGGACUGGAUUUUGAUUUUGUUGGGUGUUUCGAAAAUUGAUGUUGCAUACAGUGAUACAGGCCGCGCCAGCUUCGUCCAACGGCGGUGAAACGUCCCAAUUUUCAUAAACUUUGCAAUCUAAAAUUUUAAAAACUAAAAGAUAAAAUAAAAUUUUUUGACUAUCAAAAUUUAAACUAAUUUCAAAAAUCAAUUUGCCAAAACUAAAGUAGUAACAUAAAAAAAAAUAUAAGAAAAAUAAAAUAAAACGAUAAACUAAAACUUAACAAGUUCAACUUAAAUUUUCUAUGCAAAAUCUUUAUCUUUAAUCAUUAUUGACUUCCAUGGCCACCUCGACUUCAGAACUGUAAAACUGAAAAGAUAAGGGAUGAGCAUAUUAAAAUAUACUCAGUGAGGAACUAUGCACAUAUUCACAUAAGCUUAAACAUGCAAAUAAUUCACAUUGUCAUACACAUAUACUGAUAAUUUAAUGGACGAACUGAAAGCUCCUGAACAUGUAUUUCAACAUGGCUGAAAUUCUGAACAUGUAUUUCUACAUGGCUGAGCAAGUAUAAACAAACAUGAAAUAAGAGCAUAUAAAAACAUAUAUGAGUAUAACCACAAGCAUAUAAUCCCUCACCUUAAUGGCAUAGAUAAUAAAGUCAACAAAUUCCAAAAUGGAAAACUUAAAUGCACCACACCUAAUUAAAUAGAUAAAACGCUUUAAUAUGAAUCCUACUAUAACUUAAAUUAAAAUCCUAUAUCAAAUCUUAUAUAACUAAAUAUAUAUACUCAAGCAUAAAAAAAAUAUAAACCAUUUAGAAUUAAACUAAUUUUUCAAAAAUCUAAGAAUUGAACCAAUUUUUACAAUUAAAGAAAUUUAAUAAGUUUUCAAAAAAAUAUCAAAAAUCCUACAAUACCAUAAACUAAAGUCCUAUAAACCAAAUUAUAAAAUUGUGUGUGUAGGGGUGGGCUACCAUGAAAACACUCUUAAGUGUAUAAAAUAUGGAUAAAAUCCAUCCGUCUAUUACACUUAAAUCAAUGGCCCAAAUCUUAGAUUUAGUAGACUGAUGAUUCUUGGUGGUUACACCUAUAAUUCGUAAUGGUAAUAGGAAUAAGGGUAUAAUUGACACACUAAAAACUUGAAGAUAUGGAAAGAUCUUUUAAAUGAUUCUCUCGCCCAUAGAUAUGGAAAGAUUUCUUUUCCGUAUCAUAAAUGAUUUCUGUGAGAAUGAACAAAUUAUAUUAACUAAUAAAUUGAAGAUCGGAUAUUUUGAAUUAGGAGAAGAUUAAAAAUUGGUUUAACAUUUACUCUUGUGAAUUCUGAAUUGUGAAGUAUAUUUCUUUGAUAUCACGAAUUUUUAAUUUUGUGAUUACGAAUCUGAUACAUAGUGUUAGGAAUUAAUUUGUUAUAUGAAUCCGAAUUAGUUUUGUUCUAAUCUAUACUAUAUUAAAACAGCAGUUUUCAAUUAGAAAUUGAUUUCAAAUCAAUUUGAAAUUGAUUUGAAUGGCAAUUUUGAUAAUACUUUUAAUAUGAAGGUUAAAAAAAAUUAUUAACACCACUAACUCAUUUCACACGUUCACACUAAUUCAACAAAAAUAUAUUAAUUACUUAGAAAACACUAUUCAAAUAUAUUUAUUCAAUUUGAUUUUCUUUUAAAUUCAUCAACUUUAAUUUAUAAAAAAAUAUUCAAUAUGGAUGUUAAAUUAAAGAUAAUGACGAUAUCUUUAAUUUGAUGUAAAAAUUAUAAAAAAUAAAUUUAAAACCAAUAAGUUAUUAUAGUUUAAAGUCACCAAAUUAUUUUUUUCUCUCUCCUCUCUCUUCUCUCCUCUAUCAUCUCCUCUCUCACUUCUCAUUUUUUAAAAUUCACGGUUCUUUCAUUCCUUUUUCCAUAUUUUUUAUUUAUUUUUAUGUUUUACUAUAGAUCAGUAUUUUUUAUAUUUUACUAUUUAUAUUUUUAUUAUAUCAGUUUAAUGCAAUUACAAUGAUGAAAUUUAUAUUUGUUCAUUUUAGAAAUCUUUAGCUUAAAAAUAUUUUUUUAAAGGUCAACUUUAUAUUAAUAUAAAUUUGUAGAUAAAUAACUAAUAUAUAGUAUAUCUUAAAAAUCGAAUUUUUAAGCUUCAAAAUUACUCAUUGGAAAAUCAGUAAUUAGAGAACCAUUAUCGAUUUUCUUUAAAAAUAAAAAAUAAAAGUAAAUUGAAGAGUUUAAUUUUUUAGUAGCACAUUUAUUUAAAUUUACUGAAAUUGUAUACAUUUUAUUUUGGAAAAUGAACGAUACAUAUCUCAUGUUAAACCCUUUAUUUUUUCACUUUCCAAUUGAAAAAAAAAUGUAUACAUUGUAACUUUAUUUUUAAAUUUGAGCAUAAACAAAAUGACCUCAUAAAUAUGCAUUCGAAAACUAUAUUAAACUACAGUUAUACUAUAUGUAAAUAAAUAGUUUUGUACAUCUUAGAAUAUUAUAUGAUCCAUAAUGAUACUCAUUAUCAUCUAUACUUGCUUUUGAUAUUUCAUAAUUUAUUUAUUUAUAAAUUUAUACACAUUAUCAAUUAAAUCAAUUAAUUGCUAUUUCAAUAAUUGAAAAUUCGAAUGUUUUCAGAUUGAUAUUUUUAUUGAGAUUAUAUUGUGAAUAAUUUAUUUUUUAUUGAGAUCAUUUAUGUUUAUAUUUACUUAUAUAUAUAUAUAUAUAUUAUGUUUAACUAUUUUUAUUUAUUUAUUUAAAUUAUCGUUCAAUUUCGAUGAUGGUCGUGCAUCGCACGAGCGGGCACAUACUAGUCUUACAAAUUUUUAAGUUUGUAUUAAAAAACUAAUUUUGGUGAAUGAAAUUAAUUUGUUAUAUGAAUCUGAAAUAGUUUUCGUUUCUAAUAUUCCGAAUUUUUUAGUUUGUGAUUACGAAUCUGAUUCAUGGUGCUAGGAAUUAAUUUGUUAUAUGAAUCUGAAUUAGUUUAGUUCUAAUCUUACGAAUUUUUAAGUAUGCAUUACGAAUCACAUGAUGAUGAAUAGUUUUGUGAAGUUCAAUUUUUGGAUUACGAUUUUUUUUUAUGAUACAAGAAAAUUUUUAAUUCUAGGUUAGAUGUGUUUAAUAGGUGGGGUAACAUGUUUAAUGAUUAAUAAAUAAAUGAAAAAAAAAGAUUUGGUCACUAAAACAAGAAGAUUUGACGAAAAUAAAUAGGAAGAAAAUUACUAGCUUGUCCUCUACAUCAUUUUCGUAUUUUAUUUAAUAAAUUAUUAAGCUAAUUUCAAGCCAUUAGAUCAAUCAAGAUCAAAUGGACAAGAUUCAUCCAUAUUUUAUACACUUAAAAGUGUUUUUAUUAUAGCUCUCCCCAUAUAUAUAUGUAGGGAAGGGCUACCGUGAAAACACUUUUUUAAAAUAAAAAUAAAAAUAUUUCUCAAUGUACGAAUUUUAUGUAGAACAUGUGUGAAUUCAUCCAACUGAGUUAUGAAUUGUGAAAAAUAAAUUUUUGCUACCUUUGGGAUUCGAACUCAGGACCACGAAUUCAUCCAACAGGGUUACGAAUCAACCGUAGAUCUUGAUGAUCUAAGGNUUUAAAUUUACUGAAAUUGUAUACAUUUUAUUUUGGAAAAUGAACGACACAUAUCUCAUGUUAAACCCUUUAUUUUUUCACUUUCCAAUUGAAAAAAAAAUGUAUACAUUGUAACUUUAUUUUAAAAUUUGAGCAUAAACAAAAUAUAUUAAUUACUUAGAAAACACAUUAAUUAUCGUAUACAUUGUAACAUUUUUAUUUAUUUAUUUAAAUUAUCGUUCAAUUUUGAUGAUGGUCAUGCAUCGCACGAGCGGGCACAUACUAGUUAACAUGUAAUUGGGUAAUUAGCAUUAUUUUUUUUUAUUAUAACAAACAUAGCAAUUUUUCCCAAUUGGACGCGAAUCGUAUCAUAUGAACAUAUAUAAAAAUGUCGAUGUGCAAUUCACAUUUAACUAUUAUGCAGAAAAGGACAAGAAGUUAUGCAAGUUUAAAUUAUUAUUUAUGCAACUAGCACAUUUGUAAAAAGAAGCAUUAUUAUAACAUAAGAUUUUUAUAAUUAUAAAAUUAUAUUCGUGUAAUCAUAUGCUACUCCAAUAUACGUAGUAUCCAAUAUCAGUGGUGGAGCUAUGUACAUGCUAGGGUGGGUUGAAGCCCACCCCGAAUUUUAAAAAAAUAUAUAUUUUUUUGUUUUUAUUAUUCAUAAAUAAUAAAUAAAUAGAGAGAAUAGAAGAUUUUCUCAACAAUUGAUAGUGAGAAGAUAUUGCAAUGUUUUUAAUUAAUCGAUGAAUAUACACGUUGAAAUUAAUUGUCAUUAUUUUUUCAACAAAAACAACUAGCUUACAAAGUAUUUAUUCUUAAGUUCUUUGUAAUGUAUUGAAACUAUAUAAUCUAUGAAAAUAUUGUUUAUAAUUAUUAAACUUUUUUAAUAAAAAAUAUUUAAAUAAACGAAAUGCCCAACAAAAAAUUUCUCGGGGGCUGUAACUCCGUACAUGUUUAUUCUUAAUAUAUUAGACACAUAUGUCGAAAGGAUGUCAUAAGAAUGUUGACAUAAUUUGAAGCACUCCAAAACCUUGAAAUACAAAGCAACGUAACAUGCUAUUAAAUCUCAGCUUCAACUUUGCAGCAUCUUAAACCCCUUCUUCUUAUUUUUCUUCGUCUUCUUCCAGAUAUUAUUCAAUUUAUCUUCGAAUUAAUAUAAUACACGAUGAAACAUUAUUAUGCAGAUUGGUCUGUUGUUAAUUUCCAAACCCCGUUUGGUUAUUAUUCUAGUGGAGAAUGUGUUCCAAACUUUACACUGGGUAACUAUUCUAUCUCUUGAUUCGAUCUUGAUUUCUAUUUCAUUUUAUUGAUCCAAAUUAUUUGCACAAUCUGUAUGUGUAUACAUAUGUGCACUGAUGAAAAUAAAAAGAUUUUUAUUAGCAAAGGAAUAUAAAAUUUGAGCUUUUCUAAAGACUCUCAUAUGCAUCUAAAGCAUUUUUUUUUAGUAUGUGUUGCCAAGCGGUGGAGUGGUUAUUGGUUAAUUCUCAAGGCCAAAGUUUUUGGGUUCAAGUCAACUGUACUGCGGUCUUUAAUUUUCUUUAUUUUAAUUAUUAAGUUAUCAAAAACAAAAAUUAAUAAAGCAAUACUGUUUUAAAAGUAGUGUUGUAAUUAUAAUGUAUUUAGUUUACAUAAUUCGCCUUCUUAAUGCUCCAAGGAGAUGUUUGGUUUGAGUGAUAAAACAUGAUUGAUAAAAUAAUUUAUUUUAAUCAAGUGUUUGGUUUGCAUGAUUGAGCCUAUAAUUGAUAAUACGGCCUGCAUCUAACCAUCCAAUUGAGUGAUUAUUUAUCACCCCAAAUUAAAUUGGAUGAAUUAUUUAAUCACUCUUCCAAUCCUAUCAGUUUUAUCUAUCUCGAUCUACCAAACAAAACUCCCCCCAAAUGUCUUAUUAUGCCGUACAAAUUUAAUGAUCGAUCAAGAGAUAUAACUAUAUAUUCAUUUGAUUCACACACCCAACUACUGAAUUAAUUCCUUUUUCGAAAUUCACAUUUCAUAUAUUCUACUAAAGUACAUCUUAUGGCUGACUCACAUAGUAUACAUAUAUAAUAGAACAUACAAUAAUAAAAAUAAAUAUAAAAUUAUAAAAAAAAUCGAAAUGAAUGAUAUUGGUAGAGAAGCCUUUGAUCAUGUUAAAAGAUGAAGUGGAGAUGUAGAGCAGAAUUGCAACCAAGUUUUAGAGAUAGGGUCUUAUCUUUUCAUCACCAUUUCACCACAUCAUUCACUCACUCUUCGGUCCACCGCGUAUUUUUUGCUUCAACAUUUUUCUUUAUUUUAUUCAAAAAAUUAAUAUCCACUUAUUUUGUGGUCGUUUACAUAUCUCUUAAUACAUGUCACCUCGAGCUAUAGCUAGAUAUUUUAUUUUUCUUGUCAAAUCAUAUAUACUCCAACUUCAAUUUCAAUCACUUCAACUAAUUAUUUUCGACACGAUUGUUUAAUACAAUAAAAUUUAUAAUGUAAAAUAUAUGAACUCAGUUAUAAUAAAAAUUUAUUAUUAAAAAAGAAAAUAGGGAGUCAGAUGGAGGGAGUACAUACAUUAUUAGCUAAUUAUCUUUAUGAUAGACUUGAUAGUAUUUGCAAAUAGAAACUAGCUAGCUAGCUCCUAACCUCGUACAUAUUAUAUUUGAAUAUUAAUUCUGUAAUUACAGUUCGCCUAAAAAAAUUCUGUAAUUACAAUUAACUAAUGUACCUGCAUUAACUAUGUGAUGUAUGCCAUUAAUUAUGUAAUUAAUGGCAUAUAUAUUACUUAAAAAAACGGUAUAUAUAUGAUCAAGAGGAAUUAUAAUACACAAACCCGUGUUUCAUAUAACUUCUACGCCAUGCAUGAUAAAUCUUGCGCUCACUCGAUAAUAAAAUUAGUACUAGUAAUUACUUUUCUAGCUUGUCUUUAGAUAUAUUCGACACUAAAUAUAUUAAUCAAUUAAGAGGUAGAAUAAAAAAAGAGAUAUAAAUCUUACAAGUGCCAUUAAAUUCGCCAUAAACAAUAUAUAGUGUAGAAAUUCAUCCAAAUAAUUUAUUUGAUUUCAAAUUUCUUCCACUAUUCUAUCUUUCUUGAUCACUCCCAUAUAACGUAAGAUGAAAUUUGAGGUCAAAAAUUGAAACCCAGCAUCCAAACCUAAUCUCCGAGUAAUAGAAGCUGUGGUUCACUCACCUUUCCCUUUCAUUAUCCAUUGUAUUUAAAUUUACAUGCAUGCAUUUCUCUCUCUAGAACUGUCUUCCCACCUUUCUCAAUAUAAAGGCGCCCAAAUCCGACCCCCAUUGAGCAAUGUCGACUGUCAACGGCUGCCUCGCCUCCCAAAUCUUCACCGCCACCGCCUCCUCCCGCUCUAGAGUUGCCCUCCGCCCCGUUGUCACCGCCCGCCUCAACUCCUCUCCGCCCAGCCUCAUCCGUAACGAGCCCGUCUUCGCAGCUCCGGCUCCGAUCAUCCACCCACUCUUGGUACGUACAAUGUAUCCACUACAAGAAAAUUGCUAAUACAAAUUUAUUUUUAACCAGCUAGUGGUUUUGUAGGUGUCAUGAAAAAGUGCUGAAAGAAACCGGUUAAAAACCGGUGUCGUAGGCCAGUUUUUAACCGGUUUCUUUCAACUCCCUUUUAAGAGGUGCAUUUUACGUUUAUAUAAACACUGCUACACGGGCACACUAAUAAAUACCGAUUAAAAAUCGAUUUCGUAAAUACCUACACAUCUCUCUCACUAAUAUAUGCCACAUUAUGACGUUCAAGUUCUCUCUCACUUAUAGUAUUUGAUUUUCACUAAUACGUAUGUAACACGUGUUGUGAAAGCCUACUACUAAUAUUAAUGCGAGACUUCAUUUGACUAGUCAUCGUCUAUUAUAUAUAUAUNAUAGUGAGAACUAUAAUUUUCAUAAAAAACAUGAGAAUCAUUAAAAUUAUUGCAUUUGUUGUAAGAAGUAAUAUAUUCGUUGUUAAAUGACUUGGACUAAAAAAAUUCGCUCAUUUCAAAAUUUGAACCCAGAUGAUACAUUAAUUCACCAAGACGAUACAUUCACCAUAAAUUUUAAUGAUCGAAUAGCUGAAAAUGGUUCUCCAUAUUUAUUUUAUUUAGUAACUUCUCCCUAUAUCUAUAUCUAUCUAUCUAUAUAUAUAACAAAGUUGAGAUAAAAUUUGUAAGUCUAUGAUCAGGAAUUAUGCCACUUGCAUGCAUAAGUAGGUGAGUAGUUCACGAGAAUGUUCCAAUUAGUGCAUGCACUAAAUUUAAUACGUGUCGUUGGUUGAAUGCGUUGCAGUGAACUGAAAACUUGCUAUAUAUAGUAUAUCUAUAACAACCUUACGUCUAUGCAUUGUCGCAUUAUAACACUGCAUGAAUUACCGAGUUUCACUAGAAUUACGCUCCAAUUUUUAUGUUAGUUUUUAAUUUUUCUAUAAAUUCCGCCCAUUUUUCUUCUCUAAAAUUCACAUUCAUAUAUAUAGCAAAUUAGUUACGCUCCAAUUUAAAUGUUAGUUUUAAUUUUAUUUUUUCUAUAAAUUCCGCUCAUUUUUCCUCUCUAAAAUAUGAAAGUAAAUUAAUUACACUCCAAUUUAAAUGUUAGGUUUAAUUUUUUCUAGAAAUUCCGCUCAUUUUUUCUUCUCUAAAAUUUAUAUUCAUACAUAAUUCUCUCAAUAUUUUCUAAUAAGAUUGAAAUUUUGCAGAAAGAAGACAUGGGAAAGGACUCGUACGAAGAAGCCAUUGCUGGACUCCAGAAGCUUCUGAGGUUUGCUCUCUCUCUCUCUCUCUCACACACACACACACACACAAACUGCGUUGUGAGGUAUAUACUUGCCAGAAAUUGUAUUUUAAUUAGAAACAAAACAAAAAAUUGAUUUGAGAGAAGAAAUUCAUGAUUUAAGGUGUGAUAUAUAUGCAGUGAGAAUGGAGGGCUAGGACCGGUGGCAGCGGCGAAAAUCGAGGAGAUCACGGCGGAGCUUAAAACAGCUGACGGCAGCGCCAGCAUCUCAUCGGAGUCAGUUGAGAGGCUGAAAACUGGCUUCGUCACCUUCAAAAAAGAGAAAUACGAGUAAGCCAACACAUCGAUCAAACUUGGUUUAAUUUAUUUAUUUACAAUGCUAAAAAAAAAUGAAUUGCUAACAUCGCAUUGAUCUUAAAAAUUUAAUUCAGGAAAAAUCCAGCUCUGUACGGUGAACUCGCCAAAGGCCAGAGCCCCACGGUACAUAAUUUAUAGUAAUUUUUUUUUUGUAAAAUUUAAUUUAAUAUGGAAUUCCUAUUUUUUUGGAAUAUUUCUCAAAGAAGCAAAUUAAUGUAAUUGUGUACGUAUAUAUAUGCAGUACAUGGUUUUCGCAUGUUCAGACUCGCGCGUGUGCCCCUCGCACGUGCUAGACCUUCAACCAGGUGAAGCAUUCGUCGUCCGUAACGUCGCUAACCUGGUCCCACCAUUCGACCAGGUUUGAAAAUUAAUUAAUAUUUGAUGCUUAUUAAUCAUUUUCUGUUGUUAAAUAACUAAAAUAAGUCAUUUUAAAAAUGAUGAUAAUUAUCAUUUCAGACCAAAUACGCUGGAGUGGGGGCUGCUGUUGAGUAUGCCGUUCUGCAUCUGAAGGUGAACAAAUUUAAUUAUUUGGCAUCUAUUUCUAACACCAAACUUUAAUUAAUAUUGGUGGAGUUUUGAAUUUAUUGAGAUGGAGUAUUAAUUUUGGUGCAGGUGAAGGAGAUUGUUGUGAUUGGGCACAGUGCGUGUGGAGGGAUCAAGGGAGUCAUGUCCUUCCCAUAUGAUGGAUCCUCUUCCACGUAAGCACUAUCUCAUGACAACUCACCUUUUUCUAAUGUUUAGUAUUAUUGAAGUUGCUUACUUAGAUCAUUUAAUUAUAAAAUCAUGGAUAUUUAUUUAUUUCAUUCAUAGCUACUUAUCAAUAAUGUACCAUAUUCAAACUUAAUGUAUUUAAUUGAUGAGUUUGAAUAAAUCGAGUUGAACUUGUGUAAGCUCAUACAUAACUUGGUUUUUUGAAUAAUUAAUGUUUAUGAGAGAGAGUGAUGAUGGUAUGUUUGUUUAGUGACUUCAUCGAGGACUGGGUGAAGAUUGCAUUACCUGCGAAGAACAAGACGCUGGCUGACUGCGGCAAAGACGCACCAUUCGGCGAGCUAUGCACCACAUGUGAAAAGGUCCAUUACACAUUAAAACACAAACAUAUCAUAUGUAUUUCUUAUUUCAUUGAUGUUUUAUUUAAUCCUGGCAGGAGGCGGUGAACGUGUCGCUGGGAAACCUCCUCUCCUACCCAUUUGUGAGGGAAGGAUUGGUGAAGAAGACUCUUUCAUUGAAGGGUGGCUACUACGAUUUUGUCAAGGGAAGUUUCGAGCUGUGGGGGCUUGAGUUCAACCUAUCGCCAUCUCUCUCUGUAUGAACUUUAAUUUAUAAAGUCAUACUCUCUCUCAUCAUCCUACAAUCUUGCCUUUGUAUUUUUAUUUCCUCGUAUAUCACAAAAAUUGGUAAUAAAUGUAAGGACGAGACUCCUUUUUCGUUUGUAUCAUAAUAUAGUAUAACCUUUUUUCUCGUUUAUGUAAUAAGAGUUGAGAUUUCGGGUAUGUAUUUAUUGUGGGCGUUUUUUUGGUUUAUUUUGGCUAUUUUUGAUAGGUAAAAGAUGUGGCCACAAUUAUGCACUGGAAGCUCUUUUAGGAAAAUUGGUAUGAAGCCAAUCUGCAGAGUGAUGGGGUUUCUCUGUAUCCAUAAUCUGCCAGUAAUAAUAAGUACUUUUGUGGAAAGAAAAUGAGUGCUAAAAAUCCUUUUCCUUUUUUUUGUGUUGGAGAAUGAUAAGUAUUUCACCAAAAUGCAGAAACAAAAUUCUCAUGACUAUCUCUGCGAGUACGUUAUAUUUCGAGAUAUGGAUAAUUCUAUGAUGUAUCAAUUACGAUAGCAAGUUAAAAACUUACUAGGAAAAAUAACAAAAGUGAUACCAAAUCAUGGAGGACCGCUACCAAAAUCUUAUAUUUCUGCGCAUCUAAUAUUAUGUAAUCACCAAAUUUUGGAAUUCUUUUUUAUUUUCAUUCAAAAAUAAGGAUAGCAGAUCAACUAGUGAGCUCCCAACAUUGAGACUAGGGUUGUAAAUGAAUCGAAUAUUUUUGCUCGAUUCGAGCUUCGAUUCGAAAUUGUGUUAUUCGUAUUCGAAAUUAUUCGAUUCGUAUUCGAUAACAAGUAUUCGAUUCGAUUCGAUUAGUAUUCAAAUACUUAUAUGAAAUUAUGAUAUUCGAUUCGAUAUUCGCAUAGAUACAUGAUUAAAUAUUUAAAUAUUAUACAUAUAUGUAUAUAUGUGUGUGUGUGGAGGGGUUAAUAUAAAUUAUGAACUCAUUUUCACCAUUUGAUUGUAAAUUUUAGAGUAAAUAUAUAUAACUAUCCACUUUCAUAUUGUAAAGAUAAAAAUUGUCCACUAAGAUAAAAAUAAUAAAAACUGUCCACUUUUUGAUUGAAAAGACGGAAAUACCAUUAACAUUAAAAACAUAAAAAUUAACCAUUUUUCUCUCAUUCUCUCUCUCCUCUUUCUCUCUCUAUGCAAUCCCUUCCCCCUUCUCUUCUCUCUCUCAUCUCUCUCUCCACUCUCUCUCUCAUCUCUCUUUCUCAAGCGACGCUGCGGCGGACCAGGUCAAACAAGGCGGCGAGGCGCGGGCAGAUGCGGCGAAGGAAGCCACCGUCGGCAGAGCCGGGGGAGGUGGACAUCGGCUGGAGGUAUGCCCACGCCGCCUGCUUGACGAGGCGGUUUCGGAUGCAGAUAUCGGAUCCGCCUUGCGUGGAGCUCGACCGCGGCGAGUUGACCGCCGACGUCGGGAGAAGGUCCUUCAGCGAGGUGUAGCUGUGAGAAUUAGGCUUGAUCGACAGCAGCUCGAGAUCGUCGGAAGACGACGACGUGGUGGCGGAGGACGAGCUGUGGUGGUGGUGGUAGAGGAGAUUGAGCUUGGUCGGCGCUACUAUGAUCGAGGAGGGGAUUGAACUCCGGCGGCGGAGCUAGGGGGUUUUGCUGCGGAAACCCUAGAUCUGAAGCGGCGUUCUCGGAUUCGACGGCAAUGUGGUGCUGCGUGGUGGCGCGGAGGCUGGUGAGGAUCUGGUGGUUCUGGCGGCGGAGCUCGGCCACCUGCGCCAUCAGCUCCUCCAUGUGCUUCUGCUUCCGGAGGCGGCUCCGCCGCGCCGACUCGCGGUUGGAGAUCAUCCACUUUCUCUUCCUCAAAUCCAUCGUCUUCUGCAGAUCCUCCUUCGAUGCCGAGUCUGCAGCCCCGAUGAAUUCGACGAUAUUCCACUCGAUGAAUCCAUGGUAGCAGUAGAGAUUCAAUUUUUUUUUCUUGUGUUGGUGAUUGGAAAUUUAUAUUACAUGUGCUUGGUUGAAAUGAUAAUUUUUAGUUAUUGUAAGAAAUAAAAUGAGUAAUAGUAUUUUUUUNUUUUUAGUGAUGAUUUGUGGAUUUUAUUAAAGAGAUUUGAUCGAUUGAAUGAGAAACAUAUUUUGGAUAAUUGAUUAAUGUUCUUGAAUUCACAACGAAAUUUAUGAAUUCACAACAUAAUAUUCUUGAAUUCACGCUCAGAUCUAUGAAUUCACAAUCAACUCGAUGAAUUCACAAUUUAAUAUUCUUGAAUUCACAACUAAAACUUGAAUUCACAACCAAAAUAAAUUCUAAUUUUAGUUGUGAAUUCAAACUUUAAAAACUCAAAUUCACAAUUACUUGAAUUCACAAUCAAAAUAAAUUUUGGUUGUGAAUUAAAUUCUAGUUGUGAAUUCACAAAAAAAAAAUUCUGAUUGUGAAUUAAAUUCUUGUUGUGAAUUCGACUGGUUGUGAAAUGCGGAAUUUUUUAAAGGGAUAGUGUUUAAAGGUCAAAUGAAGUGGACAUUUUUUUAAUUUUUAAUGUGAAGGGCAUUUUGGUAACAGUGGACAUUUUUUUAAUUUUUUAUUUUAGUGGCCAUUUUUUAUCUUUACAAUAUGAAAGUGGACAUUUUACAAAUCCACUCUAAAUUUUAUGGUAGAUUCAUCACUUUAUUGGAUGAAUUUAAUUUUAUAUUCAUCAAUAUCUAAUUAUAUAUAUAAGAAUUAUUGAUGAGGAGUAAUAUAUGUAGAGCAGAGGAAUCUCUUUACCAGUGGAAUCACGGGGAGCAGCGAGGCAGAUUUCAUCAAAAGAAUCGUACUCGCUGGAAGAAUCAUCCUCACCAGAGGAAGCGCACUCGCCAGAGGAACCAUCCUCGCCAGAGGAAUCAUACUCGCCAGAGGGACCAUCAUCGCCAGAGGAAUCGUACUCGCCAGAGGAGCCAUUCUCACCAGAGGAAUCUUGCUCGCCAGAGAAGUCACUUUCGCCAGAGGAGUCUCGCCCACCAGAGAAGUCACUUUCGCCAGAAGGAAGUAACAAAAGCGCGGUGAAAUCUCCCGCGUAAAGACGAAUUUCCUAUAAUACCCUCGACCACGCAAGGCGCAUGCGUGUAUGCUGAUUUUACUAUUUUGCCCUCCCAUGUAAUCUAUAAAUAAGCCCUGAGCUCGUGCAUUGUAACCAACGUUAUCUCAAAUUCUCAAUACAGCAAUAGUUUUUCUCUUGAGUUCUUGCAUUCCGACUGUGUUCUUUGUCUCUUCCGUUCAAUCACACUAGGUAUAGUCUACGUUUACUGCUCUUUAGUCUAGGUGUUGGUUCCUUGUUUCACCAACUGGCGCCGUCUGUAGGAAGUAACUGAGCUAGGAUGUGAGUUUCCGUUCGCCGGCGCAUGCAGAUUCAAAAUUAUGCUCGGAUCUGCGUGCGCAGGCACCGAUCGGGCCGAUAAUUCGGGCACCCAAAUGAAUUCGAGUCGAUUAUCACGUUUUUCGGGUUGAUUUACCUUUAAGCUUCUGCGAUCUGUGUUUAUUUAUGAUUUUUGGUGCAUGGGGAAAGGUGGUGAAAGUCGUAAAUCGUGAAUUGGGAGGAUUUGCGUUUAUUUACCGAUUGAUCGGUUUAAUUGUAGGCGAAUGCAGGGUUUCUUCGUAGAAUUGGGGUUAUACUUACAGAUCUGAUGUUUAUAUCGGUGGAUUGUGGGGUGGUACUCUGUUUCUGUUGUGUUGGGCUUGCGCUAUUGAUUUACGGGUGUUUUUCGCUUAAGGGUGAUAAUUAUCGAUGUUUUCCAUGUUUUUGCGGCUAAUCUUCGUUUUCUACCGGUGGAUUGUGGGGUAUUACUCUGUUUUUGGUUGUGUUGGGUUUUUGCUGUUGAUUUACGGGUUUUGCACCGGUAGUAUGUUGAUUAACACUCCAUUUUUGUUAUGCUGAGUUUAUGCUGUUGGUUUAUGGCUGUUUUUCGUUUAAGGGUGAUAACUAUCGGUGUGUUCCAUGUUUUUACGGUUAAAUCUUUGUUUUAUCCCCUGUUUAAUGCGUUCUGUUAAUAAUCCGGCUGAUUGAUGUGAUGAUUUUAUUAUUUUUGGGCCUUGCGGUUAUUUUAGUGCACGAUCGUGGUAAUUUUGGGGGUGAUGUUCGUCUUUCCUGCAUAAUUCUCAUUUUAUAUCAUUCCUGACAAUUUCGCUAACAAGUUUCGUGGUUGAUGUUUUGUUUAUAUCCGUCUUUGGGUUUUCUUACGAGUUCAAAGGGGAAUUACCUGGUUGUUGCUCUGCCAUUCGUGCUCUGUUAUUUCAAUCAGUGCACUGGGUUUAUUUCCCAGUGCACAGGGAUAUCUUGAGGGAGAAUUUUUAACGGCCUCCGCGCCGGUGUUCGGGAUUUCCUAUUUCGGCAAUUUCAAUCAGUAAAGGAAGAUCUACUCAUUUGUUAUCUGGAUAUAUCUCACAUCGUUUAUGUGUAGGUACUAUGGGAUCUUCAGAUGCCCACCGCACCUUGGAGAAGGAGUUCGACUCCACUGCCCUCACCACUGAGAUGCCUACUUCAUUGUUUAACGGCCUGCAGGGCAGCACCGCCUUUACCACGCCGCCGGGUUUUCAUGCUAUCUCGGCCACCCCGCUAGCAAGACAGAAUGGCAACUUCCAGAGAUCUGCUCUGGUGACACCGGGUUCAGAUACGCCAGGCUUGGUGUCACGACCGGCCCUAAUUAAGGAUAAUUAAGCCGGGAAAACCGUGACUAAUGGAGGGAGAUUAGAAGCGGGGUAGAAAGGGGAUAAUCAAGCAAGGAAGGAUCGCAUUUUCAUCAUUUUUAACAAAGGGGAUAUCUAUAAUAUAACGAAGGUUUAGUCGUAUAAACUCAAAUAACUAGUAAAUUCGGAUAACUCCGACUUAGCCAAAAUAACAUAAAACUUCUAAGUACGCAGCGGAAUAAGGUUCUGAUUACAUGUAUGAAGACAUGUAUCCCCAGAGUUCAUUAAUACAUAAGGAUAAGACAAAAGACUCCGCUCGUCACUUCAUCACCAUCGGCUACUGCUCAACCUGCACAUUUAUAAAUACAUGCAGGGCUGAGUACAAAGGUACUCAGUGGGCACAUAAGCCUAUAAUAAAAUAUAACAUGCUUCGUAAAGUUGUAAAUUGUCAUGCCAUCAUAAACAGUACAACAAGGGGGUUUUUCGCUAAAAAGGCCCAAGCUUACUAAAUUCGUUUGUGAUUCUUAAAGUUCGUCUGCAGACUAAGUUCUCAUAAUCCAUCAUAUCUGAAGCUAUGUGCCGGAGAGGUGGCCACCUCUCACGGUCACUUGACCGGCCAACCCGCUAGAUGACUCACGGUCACUGGUGUACACUAGUCCUAGCAGGAUAGCUAUCAACUGCUCAGGACCCGAAUUCGAUUACAUGAUAACUGGCAAAGCCAUAUCAGAUAGAUAUCAUACUGAAAUUGAAACAUUUUAUGGCAAGACAAUACUUGAAAUAACUUCAAUUAAAGAUUUAGUCAUGAAAUAACUUGCUUGAACGUAACAUUUAAACUCAUUUGAUAUAUAUGAAAGUAAUGCCUACCUGAUUGCAGUUGUUUUGCUACUUAAGACAAUGAUUCUCUUUCCUUAGCGCGAUAGGUUACUCAGGCGCUUUUUGUUUAUUUGAACCUUUGAUAACACGAAAACAUGUGUUCGAGUGAAUAAUAGAAAAGAUAACAACAAAUGCAGUGAAUCACUAUUCACUCAUUUCUCUAACUACCCAUAUUUCCUUAAACGACUAUAUCUAACUUAUAUACAAUCGUUCUUCUUUUAUCGAAAUACUUCAUGUACCUUUGAGGAUGUAGGAAAGCCCAUUUUAUAUUAUUCCUUUAUUUAUCCAUUAUAAAUAAAGAAUAAUUUAUAAAAUAUUUUCCUUUUCCCCAUUUAAUAAUGCCAAUCAAUAUAUAUAUAUUGCUACUAUUAAAAGAACUAAUAAGUCAUUAAUAAAUUCUAAAUAUUAAUUCCUGAUGAAAAUUUCAUUGUGAGAUUUUAGGAACAUUUGUAAAAAUAUUUUAAAAUAAUAAAAGGAGUUAACUAUAAAAGAAAUUUUCGAGAAGAUCUAAUAAUUUUAAUAUUUUAACCAUUUAAUUAAUAAAUCUUUAAUAUUUCAUUUAUCAACUAUUCCAUCUAAUAUAAUUUUACCAACAAGUUCUCAUGAAAUCUUUCUCAGAAUAUUUAUAUAUCUCAAUAGCUCAUUUAUAAACUAAAAGUGAUAUUUUAUCAACAAUAAAACUUUAAAAUCCUUAAUAAGAAUUAUUUAGAAACAUUUCAAUCUCAACAAAACUGUAUAGACUCAACUUCAACUAAUAAACUGCUUUUACUCCGAACUCGUAUGGAGUCGAAUUUUACAUCAAUAGAAACCUCUUUGAGUCUAGUAUGUUGCAAAAACUCCAAGUAGUUUAAGAGAUAUAGCGAUUUUCCCUUCGCGUACCAGAUUCGGCAGUUUCUGCCAACUGAAAGUCCAGAUUUUUGAAAAAUAGCAAACGUUUCCGGAAUGACCUCAAAUUUUAUAUACAGAUAGAUAACGCAUAUAAAUUCAUACCAUAAAAAUUUGAGAGCUAAAUAUCAACAUAUGGUUAUUGAAAUAGUUAACUUAAUCAUCUGCCUCACGACAGUUUCAGCAGAUACUGGCAGUAGAAUUCUUGAAUUUUAAAAGGGUAGUAAACAAAGUUCAAAUGACAUGAAACUUUGCAAAAAUAUAUAACACACUCCCAUCUAUACCCCAGAAAUUUCCCAUAAUAUUAUAGAAACAUGAACGCAUCGAAACAAGGGCGUCAACUUACCCCUGUCCAAGUGAGCACUAAUGGAAGUUGUUCGCCGGGGGUUUUCCGGUCCUCGUUCCGCGAUGGUGUUUAGCCGCGAAGGUCUACGACUUAGUUGUCCUCGUGCGAGGUAGAUCAGGCUACAAAAAGGUGGUUUCUCGAUCCUUUUUCGUCGUAAGGAUGGUGAGAAACGAAGGCCGUAAGUUGGCCGGUUGCUAAGUCGGGAAUUCGACGUUGGCCGCCGAAGGAUAUUGCGGCCUUCGGUCAGGAAAAUACAGAGAAGGUUGCGGCCUUUCGAUUGUUGGAUUUGGUAGCCUGAAGAUGGAGGAACAAGUACACAUUCCCGGUUCACGGCCUAGUGGCUGGUCGGCGAAGAAACGGGCCGGCGAAGGGAGCUCACUUGAGCUUAAGAAAUAUGCAAAGUUGUGAUUUGAAGCUUGUUGGCUUCACUGAAUAUUGUCAAGAGAAUAGCUCUGUACCUUAGAAUUUGCUGAUAAAGUUGUGGUUUGAGCUGAAUCUUUGGAUGUUUAUAAGAGGAAUUCCGUAGACAACGGAUUUAAAAUGGUGGAAAUUUUUGUAGGGAGUUGGAGAAGAUUACUGUAGAACCUUUGAAGAUUUUGGAUUGCACACGAUGGAAAUCUGCAGCUUUUGAAAAUUGUAGAUUGCUGAGAUUUUCUUCAGCCGCCUUUGAAAACUUUGCUCUCGGCGUGAUCAUCUUCUCCUGAAAUUGGGGCUUUUUGGGUGUGAUGGAUUGCAUGGAAGAUAUUGCAGCUGUGAAAAUUGUGGAUCUUGUCGUGAUUUUCCCUUGCUGAAAUCUUGACUAUUUGGAUGGGAUUAACUGCGGAAAAAUGCAGUUUUGAAGAUGAAUAGUUGUGGUAAUGAUAUAUGUUGGAGGGGUUGGUGUAAUAGUGUAGUGAUUCGACUAUUUAUCGUGAUCUAAUUUCUCAUAGUUCGUACUUGUUUCUGUAAUAAUUCUCCAAUUCUCGAUGAUUAAAUACUCGUCGUAUUUAUCUAAAUUAAAUCCUCAGACUAGGGAUUUAAUACUUGAAAGUCGGAAUUAAUUCACGACUUAAUAUUAACUCAUAUAGUGCGAAGUAAAUAAAAUUAUUAUUCGCAUAUGCUCAAGUUAUAAUUCUAUCAACUUGAUCUAAGUAACACGAUUUUUAAAAUCGGUUAUAAGCCUGGAAUUUCUAAUAAUAUUGAUUGAAUCCAUCAAUAGGUAAAAUAAAGUCUCAAACAUGUAACUAAACCAAUAAUUUAAUUAUUGGUUUGAUUCAUGGCUGAAUAUUAAAUCGCUGAAAUAAUAUUAUCUUAAUAUAAAAAUCUCAAGUGAUAAUUAAAUAUGCAAAGAAAUAUCGUAAUUAAUGCAACUAUUUAUUCUAAUAUGUAUUUAAAAGAGCGGGGCAUCACAUACUACCCCCUCUUAAAAUAAAUUUCGUCCCGAAAUUUGCAUAUCUUCGUUAAACAACUCUGGAUAUUUUUCUUUCAUCUUGUCUUCGAGCUCCCACGUAGCUUCUUCUUGUCCAUGGUGCCUCCAAAGAACUUUUACUGAGGUGAUUGAUUUAUUUCGGAGUUGUUGCACCUUUCUAUCUAAAAUUGCUUCGGGUCUUUCUUCAUAGCUCAGGUCUGGAUUAAGGAUCAUCUCAUUUUGGUGUAUCACGUGCUUUGGAUCGAAAACGUACUUCCUAAGUUGUGAUACGUGGAAAACAUUAUGGACAUUUCCUAGGCUUGGCGGUAAUGCCAGCCUGUAAGCCACUGGGCCUAUUCUUUCUAGGAUCUCAUAGGGUCCUAUAAAUCGGGGUCUAAGUUUCCCUUUAACUCCAAAUCUAAUGAUCCCUUUUGAUGGAGAAACUUUCAGAAAGACUUUUUCUCCAUUCUCAAAUUGUAAGUCAGUUCGGCGUUUAUCAGCAUAUGACUUUUGUCUAUCCUGGGCCUCCUUAAUCCUCUGUCGGAUUUGGCGAACGAUUUCAAUCAUUUCNAGUCAUCUAACGGGUUGGCCGGUCAAGUGACCGUAAGAGGUGGCCACCUCUCCGGCACGCAGCUUCAGAUAUGAUAGAUUAUGAGAACUUAGACUGCAGUCGAACUUUAAGAAUCACAAAUGAAUUUAGUAAGCUUGGGCCUUUUAGCUAAAACUCCUUUGCUGUACUGUUUAUGAUGGCAUGACAAUUUACAGUUUUGAAGCAUGUAUUUUUAUACUUAGGCAUACGUGCCCACUGAGUACUUUUGUACUCAGCCCUGCAUAUAUUUCUAAAUGUGUAGGUUGAGCAGCUGGUGGUGGUGAUGAAGUGACGAGCGGAACCCUUUUGUCUUAUCCUUAUGUAUUAAUAAACUCUGGGGAUACAUGUCUUCAUACAUGUAAUCAGAACCUUAUUCCGUUGCUUACUCAAAAGUUUUAUGUUAUUUUGGCUAAGUCAGAGUUAUCCAAACUUACUAGUUUAUUCGAGUCAAUAUGACGAAACCUCCGUUAUAUUAUAAAUAUUCCUUUUGAUAACAAUGAUUAAAUACGAUCCUUCUUGGUUUAAUUAUCCCCCUUUCUACCCCGCUUCUAAUAUCCCUCCCUUAGUCACGAUUUCCCAGAUUUAAUUAUCCUUAAUUAGGUCCGGUCGUGACAGAGUGGUAUCAGAGCAGUUCAUUUGCUCUGAACCCUAGAGUUGACCAAUUUUCCUAGUAUGAUUACUAGCAUGAAAGAGUCAGUCGACUAAAGCUCAUCACUUCAUCACAUCGUCCUGCUUAGCAAGAAAGAAAGUGGUAAUGAUUUUAAAAUAUUGAGAAGUUCACGUUUAUAUGAAUGUACUGAUGCUUACAUUCAAGUUUUAUGCUUUAUUGAUUGAUUAGAUAUCUCCAUGAACUUAGAUGCGUUAAGAAUGCAUGAUCACUGUUACGAGAAGAACAAUAGGAGCUACAAACUCAGUUAUAUUUCACUAUAGCCAUGGUGAAGAGCCAAGAAAGAGGAAGAGAAUCCAAUGAAAGCAGUGCAAGCGGAGUGCCAUGCACGAAUCACUAACGCAGGCAUAGUUCUUCAUUCAGGUUGUUCACGCGAGACGGAACACCUAAUCGACUAUUGCCUUAUUCGAUGAUUGUUUAAGUAUGAUAUUGCUUAUAGCGAUGAGUGCGACUUAUGUAAUCAGUUAGCUAAUCCCUAAUAAGCUGAGACUCACUUCUAGCCUCGAUAUCACUAGCUAUGGCUUGAGGAUAACCUUCAUGAUUCAUGUAUGAACUUCAGAGUUAGACUUACGAGGGGUCAAAAUGCUUUAUAUAUGAUGUUAUAAUAUUACGAUGAAAGCUAUCAGCUUAUAGUUUCAGAUAUUCGGAACCAUUCUACUUACAGUACCUAUCGCAUUAGAUGAGGACAUGACUGAGAAUCCCUAUUGAUUACGAUCACCUACUACGAAUUGGAAAGACGAGGUGUGAUAUGGGUAUUGGCAGUUACCAACCAUUAUGAUUGAUCAUAAAAGUUUACGCAAGUGUGUAAGACGAGAGAAGUUCUCGAAGAUGGUUCAGAGUUUAAUAAUAGCUAGAAGCGCCGACAGUGGAUCGAUGCUGAAAUAAAUGAAUUAAGAUUCUAAUGAGACCCUAAGGAUAUACUCAAGAUAAGUAUACAUACCUUAACCUAUCAAGGACAUCGCCUCAGUUAGAACGUCUUGGAUUAGGCAUUUAGUUUAGUAGCCGGAGUGAGAGCAUUGACUAAGGUCAUUCCAUGACUUAGCAUUACGUAUGGUGACAAAUCCUGUAAAGAUGCUCAGAGGAGCAAAAUCUAUUUCCUUAUUGAAGGCGUGAUGAUUCAGAAGGUGUUUUGCAAUGACACGGAAGAGUGCUUCAAAUUACAUGGUUGCAUUUCAAGAGCUAUGUGAAGGAACACUAAGUACUAGAAGUACUACAUUAAGAUCAUGUAGUGGAACAUUGUUGAGUAAGGUUGAGCCUACCUUAUUUCGUCUAUAGAAGAUGUUUAGGGAUUGCAUUAAAUUAGGAGGCAGACUCCAAGUUUGAGAAGCUCUAGAAUAUUCUCAAGGACAUGUUCAAGAUGUUAGGAAGAAAGUGGUGAUUUUAGACCAAAUAUACCUUUUGCAGCCAAUGAACAAGAGUACCAAGUUCGGAAAAGUAUUUUCGAGUGGCUGAGAAGUAGUUGUGUCGGACCUGGCCAGUCCACAUGGCCAAAAUCUCAGUAGUCGUCAUAUAUGGGUCUUUAAACCUAUAUAUUUUAAACCUUCAUUUGAAAAGCCAAACGGGUUCAGACCAUUAGGUCAUUUUGUUUCGACUUUUCAGUCAAUUCAUUUCUACCCUAUGGUUAUUCAUUUUCAAUUGUUUGGCAAAUUAUUGAAACACCUUGCCUAAUUGCCAUUUGUGAUUUGAAUCAUUGUGAUCCACUAGUUGUUGGUAGAUUUUCUGUGACCCAAGGACAAACAGGUACUCAUCAGAUUAAAUCAGUCAGACACGUAUGUCUCGACCCAAGGGUCAAGCGCAUGAUGCAUCUAGACCUUCUCGUAUGUAUUUAGUAGGAUGUUACUUGUGUAUUCUGGAAACGAUGAUUGUUUCGAUGCUUUUGCAUACCGCUAUGUUGGCUUGGUUAUUUUUGCUAGUAUUAGUACGGAAAUGCUGGCCCACAGGCGUUCCACGACCAAGUUCCCUUGCGAUGGCGUACUAGACAGCCAUUCAUAUUGUGUAGUCCUUGGAUAGAGCAAUAGAUCUAAAUUCAGAAAUUGAUGUACAAGUCCUCAUCAGGGCAAUUUUCCUAUGUCUCUAUGACAACUUUAUCGUUCUUUUGCGGCAAGUCACUUCUGCCACAUUUACUUAUAUGUUAGCAUGAGAAAGAGUAUAAGCAAGAUUGAGAAUCAAAAAAAAAAAUGAGCAGAAUUGAUGAUACGCAUCAAUAUUUUUUUUAAGGCAUAGAUGACUAUAUGUCAACUCAUCGGAGAGCCACUUAAACAAAGGCAUCCAAGAAAAGGGGGGAGAAUUCGUUGAGAUGAGGAAUUAGGCCCAGUACCAGGGCCAGAACAAACCAUGGCCCCACCACCCAUACAACCAAAACGUAGAAUAGAUGAACUAUUUGUGUGAUAAAACCCAGCUGUCUUCAAUGGAACAGGAGACCCAGCGGGGGCUGAGGCUUGGGUACGAGCUAUUCAGCGCAUCUUCAAUUUCUAGCGUUGCACAUACUAGGAACAUCUUACUUGCGUGUCUUUUCAACCGACCUCUUGUGAGAAACACAGAGGAAGACAAUGGCGGUAGAGCAAUUGGAGAUUAUAAUGUAGGAGUAGAUUGAGACGUGCAUAUAUAACAAGUAUGGGACUCCACCCUGCCCAAAGUGGAACAAGAACCAUGGGAAACUCUCCAGGACUGGUAAUGAAGGUUGUUGCACAGCAACUGGAAUGAAUAUUAUGCAAAUCGUUACCCGAAUAAGCAACAAAGGGCGGGUCUCAGGCUAAACUCGCCUGUUCAGACUCCGCAUUUGAGCAAUCCAAGCUUUGCCCAACUAUACCAAGAGCAGUAACCACGCCAGCGGCAGCAACAACAAUAAUAAUAGCACAUGUGUGCUUGAAUUUAGAGCUGAGCAUAAAAUUAUUCAAAGUUGUAGUGAACAACUCAUAUGUUAUGCCGAUGAGAGACGUAUACAUCAACUUAUAAAAAGUUGAACGAGGUGACACUCAAGAACAGGUAUCCUCUAUUGAGGAUAGAUGACUUUUUCAAGCAGCUCAGAGGAGUGAGUGUGUCCUCAGAGCUAGAUUUAAGGUCUAGGUACCAUCAACUAUAGAUUCGAUAAGAAGAUGUUCCCAAGAUGGUCUUCCGAACCAGAUAUAGACAUUAUGAGUUCGUGGUGGUGUCAUUUGGAUUGACCAAUGCACCAGCCAUGUUUGUGGACCUCAUGAACUGAGUGUUCCACCCAUACUUAGGCAAGUUAUCUUAGUUUUCGUAGAUGAUGUCUUGAUCUACUCGAAGAAUGAGAAGGACCAUGAGAAACACCUGAGGAUAGUCCUAAAAACAUUGAAAACAAAGCAUCUUUAUGCCAAGUUCUGCAAGUGCGAAUUUUGGCUCAACAAAGUCACUUUUUCGGGACAUAUUAUCUCAUUAGAAAGGAUCAAAGUGCAUCCUGAGGAAGUACAAGCUGUACAUGAGUGGAGAUCGCCUACUAACCCCAAUGAGAUCAAAAGUUUCUUGGAAUUAGCAGGUUGCUAUCAGAGAUUCAUAGGAGGAUUUUCCAAAAUAGCAAAACCAAUGACCCAAUUACUCAGGAAGGGAAUUAAAUUUCCUUGGACAGAAGUAUGUGAGAAAAGAUUUCAAGAAGCUCAAGGAGAAGUUAACCAUAGUUGUUCCAACAGCCGACAAAGAAUAUGUGAUUUAUACAGACGUGUCCAAGGAGAGUACUUAGUUGCAUGUUAACGCAAGAAGCAAGAGUGACAACAUACGCAUCACGAUAGCAUUGACCACAUGAAUUGAACUAUCCUACUCAUGAUCUACAAUUAGCUGCAGUAGAGACACUACCUAUAUGGAUUUAGGUGCGAGAUAUUCACAAACCAUAAAAAGUCUGAAUUACUUUUAGCAAAUGGAUCUGUACAUGAGACGAAGAGGAUGACUAGAACUAGUAAAGGACUAAAUGUGGUAUUAACUACCACCCAGGCAAGACUAACAUGGUAGCUGAUGCCUUGAGUCGUAAGGCUCAAUCUAAAUCGGAAUUAUCCUCACUCUGGAGGGAAACUCAUUAAAGAUAAUUGUAGAAUGAGUUUAAAAGUGGUUCAACUACUAGAAUCAGUGGAAGGCAUUAUUGCCACAAUGAUAGUAACACCCAAUUUGAGAGGAAAGAUGUUAGAUACACAAGGAAAUGACGAGACCUUAGAGAAAAUACAUUUAGCAAUAAGAUCAGGCAAGCCUGGAUGUUACCAUGAGACAUUGGAUAAUGCAUUAAUGUUUGAAGAGAGAUUGUGUAUCCCACACGAUGAGAAACUCAAAGAUGAGAUAAUAAGCGAGGCUCAUGACAAGCCAUAUACUGGCCACCCGGGAAGCACAAAUGUACCAGGACAAUGAAGGAAAAUUCUGGUGGGAAUGUAUGAAGAAAUAUAUAGCUUCACUUGUUGAGAUAUGCCUAGCAUGCCAACGAGUGAAUGCUUUUCACUAAAGAUCAUAUGGAAAGUUACAACCACCAAAGAUUUUAGAUUGGAAGUCGGAGCAUAUUGCAACAAAUGUUGUGACUAGUUUACGAAGACGAAAUGAGGAAACGCUGUCUUUUGGGUAAUAGUGGAGUGACUCACGAAAUGCGCUCGUUUUAUAAUAAUACAGAUCACAUACGGAUCAGACAAGCUAGCAUAAUUGUAUGUCUGAGAGAUUGUGCGCUUACACGACGUGCCGUGUUAAAUCACUUCAGACCGAGACUCGAAGUUCAUAUCUAGAUUUUGGAUGAGCUUGUAGAAGGAGUUAGGCACAAGGUUAAAUUUCAGUACCGCCUCCCACCCACAAUCAGAUGGAUAGUUUGAGAGACCAAUUCAGACUCUCUUAGACAUAUCUUUGAGUAGCAGUACUAGACUGAGGUGGGAGUGGGGAAUCAUUGUUGCCAUUGAUUGACAUUGUAUACAACAAUAGUUAUCAGAAAACCAUCGAUAUGGCGCCUUAUGAGGCAUUAUAGGAAAGAAAAUGCAAAUUACCAAUUAACUGGAAGAGGUAGGUGAAAUGAGAAUUUUAUGACCAUGCAUGAUCAAUGAAACGAUUGAGAUACUUCGAUAGAUCAGAGAAAGAAUAAAAGAGACACAAGAUAGGCAGAAAUCUUAUGUUAAUACGCACCGAAUUGAGUCACAUUUUGAAGUAGGAGAUAAGGUUUUCCUAAAGGUAUUUUCCUCUAAGGGAAUAGCUAAGUUUGACGACAUAGAAAAGCUUAGACCCCGAUUCGUGGAAUCAUAUAAGAUUUCAGAAAAUAGGCCCAAUAGCCUAUAGAUAGGCGCUAUCGCCAAGUGAUGUGAAUGUCCAAUGUUUUCCACAUUCCUCGACUUAAGAAGUAUGUUUUCGAUCCGAAGAGCGUGACUAACCAUAACAAAAUGAUUCUUAGCCCAGACUCGAGCUAUGAAGGAAGACCAAAAGCCAUGUUCGUUUGAGAAGACACAAUAGCUCAUGAAUAAGUCUAUCAAUUAGUGACAGUCCCAUCGAGACACCAUGGAUAAGAAGAAAUUAUGUGGGAGCAUGAAAGCAAGAUGAGCGAAAAUGCCAGAACUUUUUAGCACAGAUAUGCAAAUUUCAGAACGAAAUUUUUGUUAAGAGGGGUAGUAUGUAGUAGCCCACUCUUUUAUUUUAUGAUUAAGGUCAGUAAAUGCGAUAUUUAUUUAUUGCAUCUUCAGUUAUGAUAAAUCAGUGAUUACUUAUUAGUUAAUUCAACCCACAUAACCUGAAUUAGAUGUCAUUGUGUGAUAUGAUCACGAUUGAAUAUUUGAGCAGUCAAUGUUUUAUUUUUAUUUUUAAAUUAAUAACUGACUUAGCAAAGUCAAGUUAUUAUUUUACAUGCAAUAGGUAUAUAUGUAUUUCUAUUAUUUUCCUGAAGUCGUGAAUUUGAUUCCGACUAACAGAGUGAGUUAAAUUAGAUAUUAAUUCGUAGAGGUUUUAUAACGAUUACCAGAAUUCGAAAAAUUAGAUAUAUAGAUCCUCGAUUGAUACAGAAUUUUAGGAUUUUAUUUGUCACCUCAAGACUCUCCAACACUUACACUCAAAGUCCUUUUUCCUACUCUACUGCACAGUACACGCAUAUUUUCCAACAAUUACCAUCAACAAUCUUUCCUGCUACUUCCUACAAGGCUACAAUACUAUUCCCCAUCUGCAAAGGAAAAAAAAAAGAGAAGGGGGACAAGAAAGAAAAAAAAAAGGGAAAACUUGUGUGUAGAGAGCAGCUACAACAGCUACCCUUUCAUCCUCUGCAACCCUCUAUCCACUCAAAGCCCAUAUGGGAUACGGAAAGGAACAUCAGCCACCCUAUAUGAGCUCACAUCAGCCACCCUAUAUCUGUAGACCACUUGAGUAUGAGCCAACAACACCACUUCUUGUAUUUCAGCCAUCAAGUCUCUCUUCUUCCCUCACUAACACAUGCUGAAGAAGCUAAGAAAGGGAGAGAGAGUUUCCUCCAACUCCAACUCCAAACUGUACCUUGAAGAGAUUUUUCCCAACGAAUCCCUCAGCUCAACCUAGUUCAAACACAUUAAAAGGUCAAGUAGGCGAGUAAAAGCUAGUCAGGAGUCACUAAGCUAGGGCAAAGGUUUGCUUAUCAGGUGGGCAUUACUUUCAUAUAUAUCAAAUGAGUUUAAAUGUUACGUUCAAGCAAGUUAUUUCAUGACAAAAUCUUUGAAUUGAAGUUAUUUCAAGUAUUGUCUUGCCAUAAAAUGUUUCAAUUACAGUAUGAUAUCUAUCUGAUGUGGCUUUGCCAGUUAUGUAAUUGAAUUCGGGUCCUGAGCAGUUGAUAGCUAUCCUGCCAGGGCUAGUGUACACCAGUGACCGUGAGUCAUCUAGCGGGUUGGCCGGUCAAGUGACCGUGAGAGGUGGCCACCUCUCCGGCACGCAGCUUCAGAUAUGAUAGAUUAUGAGAACUUAGACUGCAGUCGAACUUUAAGAAUCACAAAUGAAUUUAGUAAGCUUGGGCCUUUUAGCUAAAACUCCCUUGCUGUACUGUUUAUGAUGGCAUGACAAUUUACAGUUUUGAAGCAUGUAUUUUUAUACUUAGGCAUACGUGCCCACUGAGUACUUUUGUACUCAGCCCUGCAUAUAUUUUUGAAUGUGUAGGUUGAGCAGCUGGUGGUGGUGAUGAAGUGACGAGCGGAACCCUUUUGUCUUAUCCUUAUGUAUUGAUGAACUCUGGGGAUACAUGUCUUCAUACAUGUAAUCAGAACCUUAUUCCGCUGCUUACUCAAAAGUUUUAUGUUAUUUUGGCUAAGUCGGAGUUAUCCAAACUUACUAGUUUAUUCGAGUCAAUAUGACGAAACCUCCGUUAUAUUAUAAAUAUUCCUUUUGAUAACAAUGAUUAAAUACGAUCCUUCUUGGUUUAAUUAUCCCCCUUUCUACCCCGCUUCUAAUCUCCCUCCCUUUGUCAUGGUUUCCCCGGCUUAAUUAUCCUUAAUUAGGUCCGGUCGUGACAAUCAGGCUCAAGAAAACUAGAUUAAUACUUUUUAUUCAGGGAACAAAUCAAAAUUCAAUUGAAUCAAUUGACAAAUAAUUAAAUCUCACAGAUUAGACUAGAUCAUUAUUCUCACCGAAUCAAGAAAAUUAGCUAUUAAUGAAAUAAAACUCAACAAAGAAAAAAAAAUCAUAAUAAAAUAAAAACAAUAAGAAAUCAAUUCAUAGUUUCAUACUAAUCAUGAAUUAUUCUUCAAACUUGUGCACAAAAUAAAACUAUAGCUCCUAUGAAUUGCCGCCUCCAGCUGCUAAGAUGAGUGCCUCCANUCAAUUGCCGCCUCCAGCUGCUAAGAUGAGUGCCUCCAAUUAAAACUUAUCGCCCCCUGACUUGUUAAUUAAUUGGCAAAGAGAAGUCAGAAUAUAAUUACUUCCUAAUGGCCCAUGCACUAUAAUAAUAAUAAUAAUAAUAAUAAUAAUAAUAAUAAUAAUAAUAAUAAUAAUAAUAAUAAUAAUAAUAAUAAUAAUAAUAAUAAUAAUAAUAAUAAUAAUAAUAAUAAUAAACAAAUCAUUAUUCACUAGAUCAGACUUCGACUUCUUGUGCUUGCUUCGUUAAUAAUUUGCAUCAAAACACUUCUUUUCUGCUAUCUUUUUCUCGAUUUCAUUAACAUCAAACUCUUCAAUAUGGUGUUACAAUAAUCGAUUUCAGAAGAUAUUUGAAGUUGAUGAAAAAGUCUGAUUUAUGCUUGAAGAGCUUAAGACAAAAUGGAUAGGUCGUUUCCUAAUUAAUCUAGUCUGUUUGACCAGACGGGGCAAUGGAGAUUAAGAGUUUGGAUACGACAAAGAUAUUUACAGUCAAUUAUCACAAAUUGGAGUAGUGCCAUGAUGCAUCUCACAUAACGAUAGUGGAAUAAAUUUCACUGUUACCUCUGAUGAGAAUCUGAUUGCAUCAAAAAGUCUAGCCAAAGACUUAAAACAAAGGCACUAUUGGGAGGCAAUCCAAAUUUCUUCUCUUGCGUCUUGUUUACUUAGUGUUUUCUUGAUUUUGUUUUGUUUCUUCCUUUUUUUCAGCUAUCGCCGCCACUCUCAUUUUAUCCUCCAUCGUACCACAUCCACAAGUUGCCACCAUCGAGCCCAGAAAGAACAUUAUUGAAAAUGGUGACAUUUUUCCCUUCUUUGAGUUUUUAGUUUAUUUCCUUUCUUGUGUCUAACUUUGUGUUUCUUUGUCCUCCUUGUUUAAACUUUUUCUUUGUUUGCUUGAGGAGAAGCAAAUGUUAAGUGUGAGGAGGUUGUGUCUUUGUGUCAGUUUAUUGAGUCCUUUUUAUUUUAUUUUAUUUUAUUUUGUCGUGUCUUGUUGAGCCAAGUAGAUUACUAGAUUUGUUGAUGUUUAUGGACAUUCCUUACUUAGUUGAGUCUUGUUAUUAACUUGGUGAAUCAAUAUGUUGUUAAGUGGUGAAAUGUGAUCUAAAGUUUGGAGAAUUAUUUGAAUGAAAUAUGGGAUGACGAAAUAGGGCAAUAAUUGAAUUUAUUUAACCCUCAUUAAAUAAGAUUUGAGCUUGAAAUAGUAGAGCACCCUCUACUUUGAUUAUUUCUUAGAUGAUUAUUUACAAGGUUGCGAUAUCAUGUGUGUCACGUGUAAUAAAUGAUAGAAGGAACUAGGGCAAACCAAUUUUGGCAUGCGUUUCAUUGCUUGACCCGUAGAUUAAUCCCUAUUAGUGAGCUAUUUUGAAGCAUUGACCAUGUUUCUUUCGUACAAGUCACUAAAUAUUUAACCAAGACCUACUUUGUUACCUUGGUCCCUUCCUCAACUAUUUUGCAGUCUUCUCGAAGAAUUGGUUUAGAGGACUUGCUAAUAAACAACAGAAAAAAAAAUCGAUAGGGAAAAAAGAAACAAUUAACAACGUUCCCUAGCAACGACGCCAAUUUGGUGGUCGUCGUAUACCACCAAAUAAUUCCUGCAACCAGCUAAGAAUUAGAAUAGUAUAGCAAUAAGGUAGAACCACAGAGAAUAGAUUAAUAAUCUCAAUUUCCUAAAGCCCGAUUUCGUUGUAGCCGCCACGCCUAAAAUGUGUGAGAUUGAUUAUAAAUUAAGAAAAAUCAACUAAAAUAACAAAUAAGAAAUAAAUCAAGAAUAAAACAGACUCGAUUUUGAAUAAAUCCACACUAAUACUACUCUGAUCAUAGACGCAGAGAUAAAUUUAUUCUCAUGGACCAACCAGUUAUAGGAUACCGUGAAUGCAGUGGACAUACCCUAAUUCUCA
rnacentral:lncRNA from 1 species